AGAGAACAUAUCUGAAGCAUAUCAGACUGGUCCCACCCAUACGGGCAGUCCAGAUCCGAAAUGCCAGCAAGUUCUCUCUGCACGAGAGAUACAGCAACCCCAGACACAAAACACGGCAAACGACUUUAAGGGUUUGUGGUUUUUUUUUCCUUUUACCUUAUAUCAUGUUUUGCAAAUUAUGGUUCUUUUUAUAUAUAUAUUUUUGCCUGCUCCAUAUGCAUUUUUAUACUAAAUGGUUUUUCAUCUUACCAAGAUAUUAAUAAACAGCACAUGAUUUUGAAAACAUCUUAGUGAUUGUGAUAUAGUGUGCCUGCUAAGAUUUGCAGAAAUAGAGUAGCCAAAUGCCUUGGAAAAAUGUUUACCAAUAAAAGUUACUGUUGUAUGCUUAUGGUCAAAUUCCUGCCACUAAUCUGCUCAUGGAAGGGUUCACAGAGUUGUCUCUGAAAUAUGCAUCCUUUGUGCGGUCAGAAUGUCCAGUCUUCCUUGCUGCUGUGCACACAGUUAUUAUGUAUCAAUAGGUAAGCGACAUGGUGUUGUAUACAUCUUAAUAAUGUAGUAAUUGGUGUGAAACCCUCUUAAAACACAAAAGAAACAAAAAUACUUUGGUGGAUGUCUAUGGAAUGAACAGUGCAUUCAUCAACUCUCCAACUCUCUAAUUUAAUAAUGUGAAGAGCAAUGGUUAGGCUUAAACCAUUUGAAUAUAAAGGUAUCAAGUUGCAUUCACGUUUUAUAUGAAGGUUAACACAAACUUGCCAACUGUUCAGAAUUAAUUAAAUUAUUUUUUUCUUCUGAUUUUGCUUAGAUUUUUCUUCAUUUUUUACUUCUUUUCUACGGUUUCAUUUUUUGCUUUUUGUUUACAUAUAAGAUAACUGUUUUUGUCUAAUCAGACUAUUAAUUGUCUAUAAAAUUAUCAAACACUUGAUCAAUUAUUGGUGGAUUCACCGGACUGUUUAUGAACUAUCACUCAUCAUUAACUAUCAAUUUGAAGGGUGUAUAUACUUUGUACAUAUUUUGUAUAUAUUAUGAUUUUUUUCUAUAAACUAUUGUACAGUAGAUGAUUUAUUAGAGUGUGCACCAUCCUGUAUAUCUUUCGCAAUAGUGGUCCUUUUUUUUUUUUUGCUUUUUUGAUCUCUUUAUUAGUGUACAAUAAAUGAAUUUUACAUUUCAACACAUUGAUUACUCUUUUUGACGCAUAACAAAUGCAAUUGAGUGCAGCCUUAAUAGUGAUUUAUUUGUAUAUAUUAUUGAGGUCCUUAUGGGGGUAAUACCUGCACCGCCCUGUAGUAGAGUGCCAACACAAUAACUAAUCAGAAUUUUGGACCACUACGACUCCUUGCCUAUGCUUCCUUGGUUGUCCUCAAGAGUCAAGUUUCCAUACAGCUGCUCCAAGACACACUAUGUGGUUUCAGGUACAGUUUACUUUUUUAAACAUUUUGACAUUACUUUAUCUUGCACAGAUCUCUGAAUAUGCAUCUAAAUUAUCUUUAACGCCUUAAUAUCAAAAUUGAGCAUAAACAUUUUUAUUUUUAUGGAUUUUUUAGGAAGAAAUCUAGCCAACAAAGUAUCUCUUUACCUCAUUUACACUCUAGUUAUGGUUGCCAGCUGGUAGAAAAACAAAUACCUAUACCAGAAGCUAAUAGUCACUGAUAUAAUGAAUGUGAAGUUGCUGAAAAUGUAAGCUAAACCCUGAUAUCAAACAGUAAAUUAAGUUUCAAUUGGUGAUAGCAUUCCUGCAAUUAGGAAGGAGUGACUGGACUAAUUUCACUGCCAGCAUUACAUUAGAAAUGUUUACAUAUAUAUGAUUUAACUGUAUUAAUGUAUGUGGGCAGGUAAUUGAUCAUUUUUAUGUAUGUAUGUUUGUCAUUGUAUCGUAUGUGUGAAAAAUAGCAUUUUUGCUUGUAUACUAAUAUUUUUAGAACCUAUGUGAAAUAUUGCAAAAUAAAGGACACUGUAUACUGUCUACAGUUUUUCUUUUCCAAAAUAUUUUUUAUAAAGGAUGAAUAAGUGAAAAUAAAAAUUGUGCACAUGUACAUAAUUUGUAUUUUAAAGUUUUUCUAUAAAGUAAUCUAUACAUAAAAUCACUGUGUUGCGAUAUGUGUAUGUGCUUGCUAGGCAUCCCCUGUUUAUCCUAAUAUUUUUUUCAAUACAAAAGCUUUUGGUAGUAAAGGGUUUAAUAAAUACAUUUUCACGAUUCUAAUUACAUUUUGGCGAUUCUUUACAUAUUUCUCAUUCACAUUCCAAACUUAGCAAGUAAUUAUAGUGAAAUUCAGGACAGGUCAGCAUUCAUAGGUGUGAUUUACCACCUUUUUUUUUUUUUUUUUUAAAGCAUGCAGGAAUUAUUGUGUUGAGUUUGUCUGAGCAAAAUUCAGAAAUAGGUGCACAAGGCUAUUGACUAAAGAAAGACUUGUUGGGAAUUCAAAGACAAUACAAAGUGAAUUUCAAAUUUUAGACUAAAAUAGCUAAAUAUAGCUGACAGAGAAUCUUUCUAAAUUAGCUAAUUUGGCCUUGAACUUGAAAUUCACUUUUAAUUUAUCUUGAAUUCCUGGCAAUUCACAUUUUUGUGAAUAACUCUAUAUAGCCCAUGGUGUUCAACUGUAACUGUGCAAAAGUUCCUAACAUAGUUUACACAAAAGAUAUCUGUUGUGUAUCUGAGAUGCUAUUUGAUGAAAAGUCGGAUUAAAAAUUGACUACAAAACUUGUUUUUCAAUCUUCAGUCCUUGAUAUAUUAUAUGAAUUAUGUACCAUGUCAAUUGUAGUAAUAAUGGUAACAACUGUCUGAGCAUUUUAGAAAUCAAUGUAAUUAUUCAAUUUUGGAAAUCUAAAAAUGAAGCAACAAGAGAUUUGAGUCUGCAUCAAUACAGCCUAUACGGUUAGCCUGUCAUUCCAAACAAAAGCAUAUGUAACACAUUUUCUUGCGAUCUGACAUGUUAGGUCACUUAAUUGCUCCCCAGGCCAGUAAUUUUUUCGAAUGCAAGAGAAAAGAAACUAAGCAAAGUUAAUUUUACUAAUUAUACCGCAAUAGAUUUCUUUUAUUUAGAAGGUCAAACUACAUCUGUCAGUAUGAAUUUAUGUUCUGACUGAAUUAAAUAUUAAAGUGGAAAAAAAAAUCAACUCAAUGUGAAUAAUAGUUCUUCGAUAUUCACUCCUUGUUUCAUACUGUCUUUUCAUUCUCUUUCAGUCACCUGAACACAACGCAAUUCUACACAAAGGUCUGGCACAAAGAAUUCUUGAAAAGGUAAAGCAAAUCAUUAAAGUUAUCAACAAUGCAUUUCUGAAAAUCCAUUCAAACAUUUUUAAAAGUGAGGUCUAAAAAAAAUGGGAACUGUGACCCCUGAAUAUUUAUUAAUUUAUAGGACACAUUUUCCACCAUAUUAUAAAAUACGUUUUCACAUUUAUAUGCAUGCAAUCUAUCAGUGAAAUGUAUUUGUUGAAACAGAGGGUUAAUUUCCAUUCUUAGAGAAUUAAUUUGCUGACAAGUUCUAUAAGGAUAAAAUGGCCAUAGUUAGCAAUAGUGGUAUCUGGCUGUAUCCAUGCUACAAAACGUAACAUUUAACAAUUGGUUAAAGUAAAGUGUUAAAGUCUUGUGUAGAGAUUAUUAGGAGAUGAUAUAUGCUAACUACCGUCUGGCUUCCAUGGUAGAUGAUAAAAAUUACCACUAGGUUUGAUGCAAUCGCUAGCUCACUGAACUUUAUGUCUACUUCAGCUAAGUAAAAAGUGCAAAAUAUAAGUGAGUAACUGCAUACCUCAGUAUGUCUGAUAUUUUAAAAAUGCACGGUAUGGUAUAAUCCUGUAUAUUUAAGGUCAAUCAGUCAUACAUAUUUGAAGGUUACCUAAAUCAGCCCAAAAUGCACUGAAUAUUCAAAGUGUGUUACAGAGAUACAUGAUGUAUUCAAUGUAACGUUUUGAGAUACAGUCACCUUACAUCCAAUACAGUGCUGCCAUGUCCUCUGCGUUGUGUAUGUUAAUCUUCUAUAAUACCCACUUCAGGUCAACCCCUUGCUCUGCCCAGUCUUUUCCUGAAUUUCACUAGCCAUCUUCUUCUGUAAUGCCAAAACUCUGGCUUUAUUGCCAACUUGCCAGCAUCUGAACAGAGUGAUGUUAGUCACUCCACUCCUAUAUUCCCUAGCCAGUGCUAGAAGUGUUGACUAGUGAGUUACCAUAGCAAUCACAGUGCAUGUGCUGUUGCUACUAUGUGUGGAGAGCAGGAAGAGAUCAUGCAUGUGGGAGGUCCUUUCUACUCUCCCGUGGCAGUCAGUUCUUCAGCAAAGAGUUUAUGACAAAGAAUUGGCUUACAGGUAAAAUAAAUAUAUAUUUUUAAAUAGGUUUUGCUUUAAAUCUAUAUAUUUGCUACCAAAUCUCCUUGCAUAAUAUGGUAUUCUCUUUAAAAGGAUAGACAUGGCAGUUUCCCUUUAAGAGCACCUUUAUAUUUUCCUAGUUGAGUUGUAUACAUGUAUACUUUCUUGUUGUCCUGUAGCAAUGAAUCAGAGGCGAAGGUGUUUUCUUAAUAUAUGUCCAAUUUGCAAAAUAAUAAACACUAAGUGUUGGUCAGCAUCAGUGGAACCAGUUGUGAGUAGUAUGAAGAUGUUAAAUAUAGGCGAGGAAACCUGUUGCUAUUUUUUAGCUGCAAACAUCUACCGACUGUUGGUAUUAUCAGUGCUUAUUGGCUGAUUUUGCAUGAAGAGGGGCCAAAUCCUAUUAUUUAAGAUAAGCUUAUCAAAUUAUGUUUGUCUUUGGUAAAGCAGCAGAGUGCAGUUAACACUGGCUAGGGAGAUCAUGUACGAGCACUGGGGGUUGAAGACAAUUCCUAUGACAAUUUCAUUAAAAGAGGUCUUCAGAGCAGGUCAUCAUAGGGAUGGGAGGAAAAUGAUUUGGUAAUUUACUUUUUCAGGACACCUAACCUAGCACAAGGAAAGAAUCAUAUUUCAUCUCUCCUCUGGUAUAUUUCCAUAUUUUCAAACAUGCAACUGUAACCCCAAUUCUAAAGAAGCCCAAUCUUGACCCUAACUCCCCAUCCAGCUAUCGUCCUAUCUCGCUACUGCCUUUUACAUUCAAGAUCCUUGAAAGAAUUGUGUAUGCAAGAUUGACAGACUUCCUCGAGUCCAACUCUCUGCUAGACCCGCUUCAGUCUGGUUUCCGCGCUAAGCACUCUGUGGAAACGGCACUGACCCAAGUAUCCAAUGAUCUACUCGCUGCAAAAUCUCAUGGUCACUACCUUGACCUGUCUGCGGCUUUUGACACUGUUGAUCAUCAACAGCUUCUUCUCAUCCUCCGCAAUAUCGGUCUAUAAGAUAUUGCUCUCUCCUGGUGCGCCUCCUACCUCCUCCAGCGCUCUUUCAGUGUUUCCUUCUCUGGCUCUGCUUCUUCUCCCCAACUUCUCUAUGUUGGUGUCCCCCAAGGUUCAGUCCUUGGUCCCCUACUGUUCUCCAUCUAUACUGCCUCCCUUGGUAAACUCAUUAGCUCCUUUGGCUUCCAAUAUCAUUUCUAUGCAGAUGACACACAAAUCUACCUGUCCUCUCCUGAUCUCUCCCCAUCCCUCUUGACUAGUGUCUCUGACUGAUUCUCUGCUGUUUCUAACUGGAUGGCUGCCCACUUCCUUAAACUAAACUUGACCAAAACUGAAAUUCUGGUCUUUCCUCCCUCUAGUGUUGUUACUCCUGUGUCUGUCUCCCUCCAAGUCAACGGUGCUACCAUCAGCUCCACCACGCAGGCUCGCUGCCUAGGUGUUCUCUUUGACUCCGACCUCUCCUUCAAGCCUCAUGUUCAAUCUAUCGCCAAAUCCUGACAUUUCCAUCUCAAAAACAUUGCGCGCAUCCGCCCCUACUUAACGCCAGAUGCGACUAAGGUGUUGGUCCAUUCCACUGUCCUUUCUCGCCUUGACUACUAUAAUCUGCUUCUCAGUGGUCUUACGUGCUCCCAACUUGCGCCGUUACAGUCCAUAAUGAAUGCGGUGGCGCGGCUCAUCUUCCUGUCCGCCUGCACCUCCCAUGCCUCAUCCUUCUACAUUAGCUUCCUAUAAAAUAUAGAGCUCAAUUUAAAAUUCUGGUUCUUGCUUUCAAAUCUCUAAAUAAUGCUGCUCCCACCUAUCUAUCCUCCGAUAUACACAAGUGUGUCCCAUCAAGGCCCUUACGAUCUGCUGAAGACUUACGUCUAUCUUCUGUCCGUACUCCCACCUCUGAUGCUCGCCUUCAAGAUUUCUCGAGGGCUGCACCGUUCCUGUGGAACUCACUUCCCUCCUCCGUUAGAUGCUCACCCAGUCUCCACUCCUUCAAAAAAUCAUUAAAAACCCACUUCUUCAUAAAAUCAUAUCAAUUAAACAGUUAAUAGCUCCCAACUGAUUCCUCUUCUGCAACUGUCACUAGUCUAAUACUAUCCUUACCUUUUUGUGUCAUUUUACCCCACUCCCUCUAGCAUGUAAGCUCAUUGAGCAGGGCCCUCAACCCCUCUGCUCCUGUGUGUCCUACUUGUCUGGUUACAACUAUAUGUCUGUUCGUCCACCCAUUGUAAAGCGCUGCUGAAUUUGAUGGCGAUCUAUAAAUAUCAUAAUAAUAAUAUUUCAAAAACAAUAUUUGCUGUUUUCUUACAACCAAUGAUGUGUAUUUUAACCAAUGGUAAAGUCUGGUAUAAUAGGAAUUCAAUUACUAAUUUAAUAAUUAAUAGUUUUUUCCUCCACUGAAAGAUUGAAUCCUAUUGGUUCUUUAUUGUUAUUUUUUUAUACCCUUAGUCUAUCCAGUUUCAAGAUUUCUUAUGCUCAGUUCCUUAGUCCUAUCCUCACAUUGCCACGAUCUCUAACCCUGACUCUUCACGGGUUCCUUGCCUUCAACUCCUACGAUUCUUAAUCUCAGUUGUUAUGCCUCUUACCAUUAGUCCCCUUUUUUCAUAGUCUCUAAUGCUACAUGCCUAGGUCUCUUGUUCUGAAUGUCCACUUAUUUUGGAUUCAUUUACCAGGUAUUUUGUCUCUUACAGAUCUCUUACUUUCAGUCUACAGACCACUUACAAUCAGUCAGGCCAGCUUUGAAAGAGGCAUUCGAAUCCCAUUGCUGGUCUCUUCAGUAUACUCAGUACACAUUUCAAUUACCCUUAUUUUCUAGAUCUCUUCCUUUCAUUCCAUUCCAUAUUCUUGCAGCCAUGGUUUCCAUGUUCUACAGCAGGGUUGUCAAACAUGCGGCCCCCCAGAUGUUGCUGAACUACAACUCCCAUGGUUCUUUCAAUUAAACAGAUAGCCAGGGAAUCAUGGGAGUUGUAGUUCAGCAACAUCUGGGGGGCCGCAUGUUUGACAACCCUGUUCUACAGUAUGUAAAGUCUUAACUUUAUUCAUCAGGUACCAUACCCUGAUUCCACAAUGCAGUCUGCAUCAGUCCAUUUAUUGCCAAGGUAUCUAAGCUGUAGAGUGCACAGUCCUAAAUAUCUUGCUCACUGUUCCCAAGUCUAUCUUCAUUUCCUUGUUUAUCCUUGCAAUCAGGAGACAAAAGGACCUUACAAGAAGAUGUGCAAUUGUCUUUAAAAUUGUUGAGAAUUCAAAGUUAGAACUGAAAACAUCACUGACUUGGAGAUAUUUCCACUAUGGCUAUUUUGGUCCAAAACUUUAAUUUCAUUUUGAAUUCAUGACAAUUCACACUUGAAUUAAUAACAGAGAGAAGUCCAUUCAAGCUAGGCUCCAAAUUGACUUAAAUUGCCCCAUGUCCUUCUGGGCAACUUUGUUACAGCAAAGUUGACCUUUAGUACAUAAACUAUUCUAGUUCAUCAUGACCUAAGCAUUUCCAAUGACCAUACUUCACCAACAAACCCAUUUUGAAUAACAUAAUAUAUUCUAAAAACAUUUGUUCAAAUGGCAAAAUAAAUAGGCAACAUGGCAUAAUUACACUGAUUAUUACAGUAGAAUGUAUAUUUCACAAACUAAAAGUCUACGAAGCCCAAAUCCUUAUGAAUUUGUCCAGAAACAUAAGAAUAAUACAAUCUUAGAAUCAAUUGAAGAUAAAAAAAAAAGUGCAUACCUAAUACAUAUGCAUAAAUCGUAACCGCAAAUAAUUAAUCUUUUGCCGUUAGGAUUGACGUAGGGCGUUUGACAUCCAACAAGAUUGUUCUGAUUGUUAACCAUUUGACAUUGAGCAACCAGCGCCAUAGAGAAGGUACAAAUGUCGGUGUUUUGAACAGAAUCACCAAGCAUUACUGAUCGCCCAUAAAUUAAAAAAAUCUACACAAAUUCUUUUAGGUUCCAAACAAUUUUGAACUAUGACCAUCAAUGAUCUUUUUUUUUUUUUUUUAUGGAUUCUCAACAAAAUGCUUUGCUGACAUUUCCCACUGUUUUGUGAUAAAGUGUUAACUACACGCUUAUUUAGUGUAAAUUGUCAGCACAGUUUGAAGGGAAUUAAGUGCACAACAUCCAUUAAUGUUAAUGGGAUUUGCAUCUCUAAUUCCCCACAAAGUGCACUGAAAAAGCUACCCUUUAAUGCUGCCAUGAAAUACAAUUUGUAUGCACAUAAAAUUUCAAUAUAAUAUCAAGAUGUGAAAUCCAACAGAAUAAUUUAGCUAUGAAAUCCAAUCUUUGUCCUUACAUUUUUCCACCUCAUUGAUUUUUUGCCUUCAUUGUAGUGUUUCUACUGCUCUCACAUUGUCUUUCAUUAUGCAUUUUUUAUGCUUCUUUAUUAGGGAAAUAAACUUAAAAAGCAUCUAGAUGUAAGAGGUUUUAUUUGUAUCUAAUUCUAUUUAAUGACUUAGAUGUCUUUGAUAACCUGACUAAGGUGUAUUGAUCUAUUUAAUUGAUUUUUUAAUCUUCUCACUUCCUCUUUCAGUUUGUUUGCUAGAAGUGUUAUAGCAAUACUUGCAUCUCUAUUGUGAGUACAAAUACAGAUAUAUUGGGGCUAUUUGUUGUGAACGAAUCUGUUUCUUUCAAUGUGAAACAUGAUUCAUAAAAUUAAUUUAACAUCUGAAAGUCAUCCGGGGUUUAUUUACUAAACAGCAACAUGUAGUGACAACAGAAACCAACUUGUUAAAUUUAGACUAUAAAAUGUCAGAAAAAUCAUGUAACUGAAUUAUGCUUUUAAUCAAAUGCAAUCAUUUUCAGUAUAUAUUUUGUAUGUUGAUUACUGAGCUAUUACAAGUUUAGUGAAUAAAGUUGAAUUUGUAGAAACAAAUCUGAACAUAGUAGGACAUUUCUCUCUCUUUUUUUUUCUCAUGUUUUGUCCAUUUUUACAAAUAAAAAGAAAAUUAAUUUUUUUAAAGAAUAAAUAUUGAUUGACAAUAAAAUUACUCUAUUAAAUGUAGAUAAAAUAUAAUUUUCAUUGUACUUUUGUUCAAAUAAUCCUUUUAAAGUCUGUUGGGAGAAUAAAAUUUAUACAGUCUAUCAGGAGAAUAAAAUACUUUUUUAUUAUUUAAGUCUAUUCGGAGAACACAAUUAUUAUUAUUAUUAUUAAUAAAGUCUGUUGGGAGAAUAGAAUGUAUACAGUCUAUGGGGAGAAUAAAAUUAUUAUUACUAUUAUUCUUAUUAUUAUUAUUAAAGGUUAUCGGGAGACUAGAAUUAUUUACAGACUUUUUUUGCCUUCUUUUGGAUCAACAGCAAAAAUCAAAUGUGAGACAGGCUGAAUUUGAUGGACACACGUCUAUUUUGUAGUUCAAUUACUGUUAUUUCAGUUGUGAAAUCCAACUUUGCAUGAUAGAGUUAAUACAAAUAAAAAACGUUCAGGAUUAUUCAACAAAUAGAAGAAAAGCUCAUUCUGGCCUUUUGGCUCAUAUUUACUAAAUUUGCUGGACGAACUAAAGGAUGUAUUACUUUUUUGUAUUAUUGGACUUAAACCUAUGUCUCCUUUGAGUAGACAAAAUAAAAUAUUUAUUUUUUUAGUUAUCUUCAAGGCAAAAAAAUGUUAAAGCUUUUAUGCAUGGACCAGAUCAUACAUACAAAAAAUAAUUAACCCAUCAACACUGUCAAACAAAAAGGAAAAACAGUAAUAUACCCAAACACAGCUACAAUAAUAAGACCAAUAAUUAAAGUAAUUCUAAAAAUUACACAAUAUUAACAAAAAUAAAUGUGAAAGGGCACAUACCCAUGACUGCUACAUAUUAAUAUAUCUAGACUUCUCCGCCAAAGGAAGCAUUCCAAAAGUGAUAAUGAAAUAGUCUUAUAACUAUUCCGGAUUUCAAGGCAAGAACUAUGACACAUCCAUGACAAUUUAAGAGCCAUAUAUCACACUCCAUAUCCCCACAAUUGCACUCAUUUAUCUAAAUAUAAAUCACUACUUUAUCAUCUACAACUGACAAAGUGAUGUACGAUAUCUGGGAGAAAUUUUGUUCAAGUAGUGACAGGUACAUGUAACACAAGUAGAUGAUAUAUGCAAGUGAAAUAUGAUUAAAACACAGCAUACUGGACCACCCAUUACAAACCUAAUAUGUAUCAUAACCUACAUCAGGGAUAGGCAACCUUCUGCACUCCAGAUGCUGUGGACUACAUCCCCCAUAAUGCUCUUACAUACAUAAUGCUGACAAAGCAUCAUGUUAGGUGUAGUCCAAAACAUCUGAAGUGCCGAAGGUUGCCUAUGUCUGACCUACAUGAUAACUGUGAGAGGAUACGUUUUGUACUAUACCAAAACCCACAUUUAUUCUCUUGACAUUAGUGAGAUGACAGACAUUCCUUCAAAGAUUAAUGCUGGCAAUCUGAAAUAAGAAAGAGAGAAAAUUGGUCUAUUCCUUUCCCUUUGGUGGUGUAGUGAGACCUAUUUUACUUUUGUUUCUUCUAGUGACUCUUAAGUUGUCUUUAAAUGGACCAGCCAGUGGUGCAGGUAAUUACAUAUAUGAUGAGAGGUCCAAACUGCAGUCCAUGGUUGGUUUCUGGUCACUAGUCCUUUCAGAUCACGACCUAUGCUAUGAUUUAAAAAAAAAGCUAUGUUUAAAACAGUGUCCAUUGUCAAGGGUACCUGAAGAAAUGGAAAAUGAAGUCUAAAACCCAAUGCCUGCCUGUACUCAUUUGCAUAUCAAGCUGGGAACUCUGGGGUUGUUAUGGAAACAUGAUUUCUGUAGCCUGUAUACCCAAGAUGGACUGUCCAAAGUACAACCUGAGAUAUGCAGCUAUAAAAAUAUUAUUUCUAAUUGCACUGUGGGGUUUUAUUGCGUUUGGCCUCACCACAAUCUUUUUGGCACCUAGCUAUAAGUAAAAUGGCCAGAUUUUAAUUUAACCGAUCUGUCAGUUUUAAAUAUGUAAUUCUGUGUUUGUAGAUAAUAGUCUGCCGUGUUUGAACGAAUGUGUCCCAUAACCGUUGACAUGUUGAUGAGUUAGUAGCACUUCUUGUUAGCAGACCUUUUCAUUGUCUAAUCAAGAGUGUGUCUAAUCAAGAGUGUCUACAACAGAAUCCAGAAGGGUAAUGGAAAGCUUACUCUUGUACCUCACAGUCACAAGGAUGUUUAAUCUUUAUUUGUUUUUCCUGAAUGUGGAACUCUUAGACUCUGUCAGAGGUUUCUUUGUUUUUGACUUCUAGUUUUAUAUUUUUCCUAUUUUCCCUUUCCCUACCCUCUUCCCCUCUCCCAUUUUUGUGAUACCUUGGUGACAUGUCCCAAAGCUUAGAUAUGUUCCUUUUAUCACUUUGUCUCUUUUCUUUCCUUGACUUUUUGGAUUUUUGUUGUUCCAGGCAAAUAGAACUACCCCUAUUUUAAGUCCUCUAUCAGCAUUCUAAAAUGGCAAAGGGGUUAUGGUUCAACAAACGUAUUUUCAUCGAAGAAUAAUUGUAUGUAAAAUGAACAACACUUAUAUGUUAAAAAAACCUGAGAUUUCUAGUUUUGAAGGUGAAAAUCUGCACCACAGGCCGACAAACUAAAGACAGUCAGUAUAGUAAAGAGAUAAAUAAUUUUACACUGAAUAAGAGAAAACUGUGGAAAGGUAGUUUUGUAAUGCAAUUUUUUGUUGCUCCAGUGUAACAUAGCACAUAUAGUUGCUGUUAAUUAAUAAAAAGGAAAGUGACAACUUCACAAGAUUUCUGUAUUUGUGAUGAAGAGUUUUCAAAUGCACUCUUCAAAGUAUUCUUCAAGGGAUACUAUAUUGAUUGGAAUACCUUUUAUCUACUUACCCUCAGUAGGGGUUCAAACCCUUUAAUUACCCGAUUCCAGUGCCGAUGUGCCUUUUCACUAGGUCGGCACUUCACCUCCUCCAGCGUCCAAUGGGUGGACCUAAUGCAGAUGCGCAGUGAGCUCUGUGACCUCAUUAUGCCCUCCCCAUAGAAAAGCACUGACCUCAUUAUGCCCUCCCCAUAGAAAAGCACUUUCCUAUAGGGAUUUCACUGAUGCUGGAUGUCCUCAUGCAGUGCAGUGCAUGAGGACAUCCAGUGUCAUAUAGGGCAGUGCUCCUAAACCCUUUCCUCAAGGCACAUCCAGCAGUCCAGGAUUUGGGUAUUACCCGUGUGUGUCUAAGUGUUUUAAAAAAAUAAAAAAAUAAAAACACCUUAGUCUUUAUGGUGUUUUUAUUUCUUUUUCUAAAUACCUUAGACACAGCUGGGUAAUCCCUAAAUCCUGGACUGUUAGGUGUGCCUUGAGGAGAGGGUUGAGGAGCACUGAUAUAGGGGACCUGGAUUCCGAUAAACUCCUGAAAGCGCCUAUAGUGGCUGUCUAAGUAAUAUAAUUUAAACAUUGCAGUUUCUCAAAAAACUGCAAUGUUUUACAUUGCAGGACUAAGUGGGUCAGGGACAUUGCACCCAGACUACUCCAAUGAGAUGAGAUGGUCUGGGUGCUUACACUGUCCCUUUAAGCUGUUUGAGCGCUUCAAAAAUCCUGUCAGAAUUUUAAUAAAAAAAAAAAAAUUGAGAAUCUGACUCUAUGGUUGCAUUGUUUUAUGCAAUAAACAUUAUUGAUACUAUAUCAGUCAAAUUAAUUAUCAGAGCUACUAGGGUAGUGAUAAGGGGGCAGCAUAGCACUGUCCACAUGUGGCAGGGUAACACCUUAUGUAACAGUGAGAGAGAGCAUGUGGAUUCCCAUCUAUUUCUUCUUCCACAACCUGGAUAGAGUGAUUAGGAAAUUGAAAGACAGGGGUGAAUCCUCCGGAUAGAUAUGGGCAUUAGCCAUUGCUAAUGGAUGCCAUAGUCACCAAAACUACUUUAGCUUAGUGAAGCAGUUUUGGUGUAUAGAUUAUGCCUCUGCAGUCUCACUGCUCAAUUCUCUGCCAUUAAGAAGUCAAAUCACUUAGUUUAUGCAGUCCUAGUCACACCUCUCUGCAUGUAACAUGCACAGCCCUCCUAAACACUUCCUGUAAAGUUAGAUCUAAUGUUUCUACUUUAUUUAUAGCACAUUCUGCUUUAUUUAGAAUGUCUUAUCUCCUGCACUGUUAAUAGCUUACUAGACCUUGCAUGUGCCUCCAGUGUGUGGUUCAGUUCAAUUUACAGAGCAGGAAAAAAUACUUCUAAAGCAAAUUAACAUCUGAUUGAAAGUGAAACCAUUUUUAAAUGUAGGUUGUGUGAGUCACACAUAGCUAAUGCUAUUUUGGUGAUUAUAGUGUCCCUUUAAUAAUAGCAAUCAGGAACAAGAAGGGAUUAUGCUGCUUCACUCAUUUUGUGGAGUGUUCAAUAGACAGAGAUACAGAGUGGACCAAGGCAAUUCCAUCAUCUAUCUAACCUUUACACUUGCAAUGGAGACGGCCAACUCCAAAAUGCAGAGAGUGUAGACAAGGCUGAGUUAUCCAAACCCAGUUAUGGCCAGUUCAUGCCAGUGAUUCUAAAUAUAUGGGCAUGGAGUGUUUUCAAAUAAUUCCCUUAGAGAAACAAACUUGUAAUUGCAAUGUAUCAAACAUAUGUGUUUACAGGGUGUUUUUCCCCCCAAAAAAAGUUAUAUAUUAACCAAAAUAAUAUUUAAAUAAAAAAUGUAAAAGUAAAACUAAAUAUGCCAAAUAUAUUUCAUAUGGGGUGAUAUUUCCAUCUAACCAUCAAAAAUAAAUAAUUAUUUUUAUACUUGCUGAUAUUCAAUAAAAUUAAAUAAUUAUUCAGGAAAUUAUUUAUAUACAUUUCAGAUAUUUAAAUAAUUUGAAAUGGUUAAGAUUUCCAUUUAAUUUGAUAUUUCAAGUCAGUUUGUCUUUUAGUAACCUAUAGUAAAAACUUUAUGUGAAAUAUAACAAAACUAACCUACUUUAAAUGUACUGCUGCAAAUUUGACCUUUAGUAAGUAACUUCAAUUAUUUCCGAAAAGCAUCGUCCCAGAUAACAAUCUCUACAAGUAUUCACCUGGUUGCAUCAUUUCUAUUUAGAAACCAAAUCAGUUUUGCGUGCAGACACAUUGUUCUGUGACAGGAAAAUCUCAUGUUUAUUACACUGGCAAAAGCAAGUAGAGAGAAAAAAAACAUAUUUAAUCAACUGCACAAGUGAUUCAUUUUACAGCUGAAAGAACAUAUCAAUGAUUCUAAAUUGUAUUUAAAUCAGUUAAUUUAAUAAACCAAUAUGCAUCAAUGAUCCUAUUGCCACAAGAUGGCACCAAACAGCUGUUACUGUUGUCUGUGCUUGCAAGGUGACUAUGUACCAUCUUAUAUAUUUUUUCCCUCAGAUAACUCGCACAGACAUUGAGAAGUUGGCUACCUCAUAUAUGUGUUCUAAUAUUGUAUAUUUAGAGCUUCUGGCUACUUGGUCAAUUGGAUUAUUUUUUCCUCCUUAGACUACAAACAUCUUGCCACCUAAAAUAUUGCUAUUUAACUACCUUUGCUUCUCCAUUUUCCAUUUCUCCUCCCAUCUCUCCUCUAUAGCUACUUUAAUCCCUCUUCUCUUUUCAUAUUUCUUCGUCCCUCUUUUUCCUCCAUCAUCAUCAUCCUGUUUUCUGCUUGUUUUGAUAACCAGGAUCUUCUCUCUAUAUUUUUUUCCAUUUUCUUAUUUGUAGUACUGGAAUAUAGUUUGAAUGAACAUUACCUGUAUUGUCUGUAAAAAGUAUAUAUCAUAUUCAAACAAUAUUUGCCUCAUAUGCUUUUCCUUUAUUUUACCUUUCACACAAACGUGUGUAUGUGUGUGUUUGUACAGAAAACCGAGCUACACCUUAAAAAAAUACACCCAUGUUAACAUUAUCCUCAGGUAAUUUAUAUGUUUAAUUUGUUUUGGGGUCUCGUGCAAUAUUUAUGUAGCUAAUAUUUUAAGAGAUUGACCAUGCCUUCAUGGCCCUCUUAUGUACUUGUGGAAGAAUCAUGCUGGAACAGGAAAUGAUCUUCCCCAAACUGUUGCCACAAAGUUGGAAGCAUUAUAUUUUCUAUAAUGUCUGUAUAUCCUGUUACUUUUCACUGGAAUGGCCUAGCCAAAGAAGAUCAGCCCCAGGCCAUUAGCCAUCCUCCACCAAACUCUACACUACAUUCUAUGCAAUCUGGUAUCUCUUUUCUUGCAUCCACCAUACUCACAUUCUAACAUCAGAUUGCUAUUUAGUGAACAGCAAUUCAUUACUCUAGAGAACACAUCCCCGCUUGAAGGAUAUAUGGAUGCUUGUCCUCCGUAGGGGAAUGGUGUCCAACUCUCAGGGAAAAAGGAACAUAAAAACAAUUAAUGGACAAGCAUCCAUAUAUCUUACAACCGGGGAUUGUUCCGCUGUAUGCCUGUUAUACCUGAGCUGGCCAUAGCUCAUCCAAAUGUGAGUGUAAUAUUUAUAUUUUAAUUUACAAAUAUUUACUUUAUACACUCCGCACAAUUGGUCCUCUCUUCUUGUAUCUUCUAUAUCACGAGACGAUCAGAACUACUAUAAACAGAGAAGAUACUCUACCAUCUGAAGCAUUGCCUAAGACAUUUUCCACUACAGUUCAACCUCUAAUAUAUAUUGGGACUAUUUUUUAGUAUUUUAUUUAUAUAUACUUUUACCAUUUGUUUUUUAACACUCCUUUUGGCGCAGCCUUUCUUUUCUAUUGUUGCGUUCUUCUAUUGUAGAAGGUUAGAGGGUUACCCUCUGUCAGGCCGCUGCCUAUUCAUUCUGUUAUUAUUAGCGCUAACCUAUCUUUUUGUUCUUUUUUCUGUACUUGACACAAAAGGCUGUUGUGCUGUACUGUGCAAGAAACAACAUGGUAUCAUCAUGUUGAUAAUAUUUUGAGGAAGAUAAUAGAGAUCUCCACUUGUGUUACGCAGGCAGUGGAAACAUGAUUGGAAGAUGCUGAAGGUGCACUCAGUUACAAUCCACCUCCUGUAAUUGGGCCCUAUUAUAUGUUUGCUCUGCUGGACCUGAAAUCUCAGUGUGUGGCAGGUGUGUGGCAGGUGUGUGACAGGUGUGUGCAGUCAUACCCUUUACCCAUGCACUCGUUCCCCUGGCAAGAAACAGAAGGUAAAUCCCUGAGUGAGAGUUGAAAGUAAAUCUCUGGGUCAUCUGAUUGCAUCUGUACAUUGUGUAUUAAGUAAAAAUGUCAAAACACAAAGAGCUGGAAAACAUACACUGGUCCAAUAGAUGGAUAUCCAGCAAUUUCAUCUGCAAGUGGGGAUGUGGAAACAAGAAAUGUAAGUCUUCAGGUGCCAGGAAGAAGAGGUAACUAUGAGAACAAGACUUGUUCACAGCUAGAAAUUGUGGUUCUGCCAAAUCAUUUUUUCCCCAAAGGUAAGAAGUUUUUCAGACACCUUCCAUUCGGUUGGAUUUUGGUUCCGCUCAGCUAACUGUUAAUUCAGGAACUAAACGUGAAACACAAACCAAAGUGUUGAGAAAAUGGGCCAAUCUGUAAGCUGCAAAAUAUAUACAUAGCAUACCAAAAUAAUGCAUGGACUCCAUAUUGAAUGGCAGUGCACACCAUAGAUAUUUAGCAUGGGAAUAUUUUAAAAAUGGUUUUCUCAAAUGGCUUUAAUUUUGAGGUUAUUUGAAUAAUAAAUGUAAACAUUUGUAACAAUUUUUAAAUGGCUUUCAAAAAUCAUGACUGGUUGCCUCUUGUGGGUGACCAAGCAUAAGUGCAUGAAUACAGCACAUACACAUAGAUAUACUUUAUAGAAAAGAGAGAAGUAAAUUACGAAUAUUUUUACUUUAUAAAAAUGUUUGAGAUUUUGUUACUAUUGUAAUAUAAACCGUUAUGGCUACCAAACCAAGACAAAGGUUUUUAUAGAGUUUUUUCAGCUGUUUUAAUUGUACAGUUAUUUUUAAAAAUGCACUGAAGUGAUUUGGAAUAUUUUAAAAUGAUUGCCUUAUUAACUUCUCCUGAACAAAUACAGCCCAUCACAUAAUUCCUCGCACAACAUUUCCCCUGCAGUAUACAUAGUUUUAUCAAAGAUUUUUAGAGUUUUUUUAAACAGUGUGCAAAUUACAAAAUGGCCACCAUUUCACGUGACACGUGGCUUGCAGAUUGCCACAGAAUUGUACAAUUCCACACAUUUCCAUGAAUCUUAUCAUAUUUUCAGAUUGUUGGCCAUGGGUGCCAACAGUCCUGAAUUUGCAAGUACAGUUCUGAAUUUUGGGGUACUGUCUCAGCAAAAAUUGGUCCCAGAGAACAUUCCCGCAUUUUGAAAUCUGAUUGCAGAUUUCAAAAUGCUGGUGCAGAUUGGGCACUAGGACCAUGCUGAGAGUGAUUCAGCCUACUGCUGUGUCCCAGCCUAAAUGAUGUGAUUUUAACCAUAAUUUGUGUUUUGUGUAUAUUGGAUGUUUCAAGGUGGUAUAGAUUCUACUUAAAGUAUAGAUUUUACAACAUGUUAAAUAAAUGAUGUUCUUUGGCUGAUAUUAUAAAGAUUUUUUUUUCUUUUCCACUGCUUUCACUGGAUCCUGAGAGAUCACCUCAACCACGGCCUACAUGUUUCAUAACAUUAACAUUAACACAUUUAGAAAGACUGUGGUCAAGCUUAUCUUUAUUGGUCUUCUGUAUGCAUGCCUCUCAAUUCAUUUUGUUAAUGAUACUGUUAUUACAUUGCACAGAUACAUUGCAUUAAAGACCUAUAUCAAUGUGAAUAAAUUGUAUUUGAUUUUAAGUGCUAGAUCUGCAAUAUGUGGUUAUAAAAAAUGCCUCUUUACAUAUACUUAAAUGUUUGCAUUUAACUUGUAGUUUUCUCCAGAGGGAAAAAACUUACCCUGCAGCAUUUACAAAGGGAAUUGUUGCCAAAGGAAAUUUAUACUAUUCCACCUAGCGCUAGGAGCUAAAAAUCUUUUUAAAAGUUGGUUGCUUGAGAAUUAACUCAUUAAAUAUUGUGGAAUUGGUUGCCGAGAUCAGAAUAAGCUGUGUGACCUUUUUGUUGCAAAUGACCAUUUCACUUUUGACUUUUUUUUGUGUAUAGGAUAUAGUGCACCAUAGGUGUCUACCACUGCAGACUUGUGCAAAAUCUUGGUACAGUGGUAGAGACCUGUACACGUUACAGUACAAUGAUCAUAGGUCAUGUGGUCUGGCGGCCAUUUUCAUUAUUUUGACCAGUUUAACACAAUCUUAAUAAAACAAAAAAAUUUUAAUAGUAUUGUUGCAUGGUUAGAAUACUAAUAAUCUUAAUUAUUAUUAGUAUUAUUAAUAAUUAUUAUUAAUAAUAAUAAUAGUUGCCAGCAGUAAUGGAGAUGGCCAAACACAAGAGCCUGGAUAUAUCUCAUGAGAACAUAUUGUAGCUUGAUAGUUAAAUAGCAAGGAUAUGUAUUAUAAAACUUCACAGGAACAUUUGACAGAUGCUAAUACACAAAAAUAAGUUCUGCACUCAAACUCCCACUACUCUUGGGCGGCAGCAAUGACCACAGUAUACAUCAGCCCCAAUACAUACAAUAAAUCCAAAGAAAAAGUUCCACUCCAAUGGCCAAAAAGUUCCACACCAAUGCUGUCUUUUGUCUCAAGAUGGGAAGAUAUUUGACAGAACUGGAAGACAUGGGGACACUGUGUCCCUAGUGUCAGUGUCCCCAUGUCUCCCAGCCAGUGUCCCUAGUGUCUCAGUGUCCCCAUGUCUUCAAGUAUCAUCUAGUUUCCCAGUGUCCCCAUGUCUCCCAGUGUCCCUAGUGUCAGUGUCCACAUGUCUCCCAUGUCUCCCAGUGCCCCAGGUGUAUCAAUGCCCCCAUGUCUACCAGCCAGUGUCCCUAGUGUCUCAGUGUCCCCAUGUCUUCAAGUGUCCCCAGUCUCCCUGGGUCCCUGUGUGUCCCAGCCAAUCUCCAAGUGUCUUAGUGUCCCCGUUUCCCCCACUGUCCAUAGUGUCUCAGCAUCCCCAGUGUCUAUGUCCUCAUGUCUCCCAGUGUCCCCAUGUCUCCCAGUGCCCUAAGUGUUUCAAUGUUCCCAUUUCUCUUAGUGUCCCCAUGCCUCACAGUAUACCCAUGUCUCAGUGUUCCUAGUGUCCUAGUGACAUGGGGACCCUGGGAGACAUGGAUACAUGUGGACAUAGACACUAGGGGACACUGAGAGACAUGGAAAUACUGGGGGACACUGAGCGACAUGGACAAUAGGACACUGGGAGACAUUGAGCAUUGAGACACUGUGAUACAUAGGGACACUGUGAUACAUAGGGUCAUUGGGAGACCUGGGGACAUGACCCUAGGGGACACUAGGGGAAACUAGGGGACACUGGGACAUUGGGACACUGGGAAACAUGGGGCACUAAGACACUGAUGCAUAGGGACACUGAGACCUGGGGUAAUCGACACAUAGGGACACUAAGUCAUGAGGGCACUGGGAGACAUGGAGGCACUGGGAGACUAGGGAACACUGAGACACUGGACGACAUGGGGACACUGGGUGCAUGGGGACACUGAUACAUAGGAACAUUGGGGGGCAGGGAGACACUGGGAGCAAUCCAUCUAGAAUGUAAGCUCAUUGAGCAGGGCCUUCCACCUCUCUGUUCCUGUACGUCCAGUUGUCUGGUUACAAUUACAUAUCUAUUAGUCCACUCAUUGUACAGCGUUACGGAAUCUGAUGGCGCUAUAUAAAUAAUAAAAUAAUAAUAAUAAUCUAUACAGCAGAAUCAAACUGUAAGUAGUUUUUUGGUGAUUUUACAGUAUUUUCUCUUAUGUCAAUCCUUGUGAUUUACAUCAUGUGAUAUCACCCAUAGGCCGGUAUGACAAUUAAAUUAGUUAAGGUAAUGCUGACUUUGAUCUCUCCAACACUGUGGCAAUUUCCCUUUCUUCUACACUCACUAUAAACAGCUUUUCUCUGUCCCAGACUAUAUAUCAGGAGCUUCUGCUAGUAAGAAGGUAAGGAGACAAGUGGACCAGCGAGUGCUAAGGGACAGUCCUUAGAAAGCGUUGAGCGAGCACAUUAUUAGACUCAUUUAUGCCAAGUUCAGGGUGCUGUCUCCAUAGUAUGCCCUUAGUUGGCCAGCAUGCAUGAUUGGCAGGCAGCCUGACAUUCAUUCAUGCCAGGCUGGCCUUCCAAUUCUUUGGGCAGACAAGCCCCCUUUUUGGGCAUGGUCGCCUCUUUUGACAGGUUACGUGAUUUGCGUCAGUGGCACACCCUUUUACCGUUCCCAUUGACUUCCUGCUCUAUGGACACUGCUGUUGGGAGUUAUGGUUUUACUUGAAAGAUGAAAAUAUAAAUUAGAGAGAGAUUAGCAUAGGGUAUGUGUUUUCUUAUAGCUGCUGUUUUCUUUCCCUCCAGCACCAUCUCCAUCAGAUACAUGAUGCUUGGGAAUGUUUUAGUGUUUUUGGUCGAUAAGAUUCUGUAAUUAGGCCCAUCAUAAUUGUGAGCACCAGGCCCACUGGGCUGUUGUUCCAGUUAAAGUAUGUAUUGGCACUUGAACCACUGGCUUGUUCAUUACUUAUUAUGAAAUUAGGAGUGUUGGCCUCUCUUACAUGGUUCAAAAUCUUGGACCAUUUGUGGAGAAUAUGAUUUGAUUCCUUUCAUCCCCUCUCUCCCUAGAUUAAGGCCUGUUUUACAAUGUUAUGGAGCAAUUGUUCAUUAUAAAAUGAUUACUCCCAAAGCCUAGGCCCUCUCAGUGAAUAUUUCCCAUGAAAUUCAAUCACUCAAGAAUAACUGCAUUUGACUUGCACUCUAAUUCUAUUAAUUAUAUGGAUAUACUUUUGACCGCAAAUAUAAGCAACUGUAAAUUUGAAUAGGUAAUGAGAUCCUAAAAAGAGCCAAAUUAAACAAGAGGAAAUCAUUCGAUUUUUCUUGGUUUGGUAGGGAAGCCACACUGGAAAUCAUGUCUCAUGCCUACAUUUUUUCAUGUAUUUAUUUUGCGCAAUCCUGCUCCCUUUCCUUCAUGCUAUUUAUAUUUAAAACAAAACUUUUUAGCCAAAAUGCACUCAAAAAGUCUAGAGUGAAGAUAUACAAUGUCCUAUAUUUAGAUCCCCCACCCAGCACCAAUGGGAGGGUGCCAAAGGGAACACUAUAUUCUCUAACCUUUAUUAUAAUUAGGUCCCCACCCAUCGCCCAUGGAUGGGGGCCAGGGGUUACUAAGUUACCCCCUUAUAUUGUUAUAGCCCAUGUUAAAUAAGAGUCCCCUCAUACCCUCACCCAUGGGCAUUGUGUGGCAGCCUUUAUGUUAAAUAAUGAGUGAUCUGUCCACCUCUCUACCCCCUCCUGUCUCAAGCUGGUGAGGGCUAUUAAUUAAAAGUAAUCAGGGGACAUACUAAUGUCCCUCCUGCCCAGUUGCUGAUGUUAGACAUUUAGUUGAUAUGCCCUCCACCCCUCUACCCCCCUUCAUAGCAGAUGGUGACAAAGGGAGGUUUUAAACUCCCCUUAUUGUAAUAGGCCAUUAUUGAUUAUUAUUUAUUUAUCUAUUUAUUUUAACUAUUUAGUUUGACAGCUAGUUAUCAAGCUCUCUUGCUGUCAGCUAGUUCUGUCUCUGGGCAAAUAGUUUUAAGAUUUUUUUUUUAUAAUUCGAGCCCAUGUAUGAAGCAUCCAGGCCUGGACAUUAUUAAAUAGCGUUAACAAUGUCCGGAUUCUGCCAUGUGAAUGGCCUAUUAUGCAAUUGGAUGGUUUUUCCCCAUUCGGUCUGGAGCCAUUUGACCUUUAAUAAAUAACCCAAUGAGUGUUUACCAUAUGUGGUUUAUAAACUGCAUUACUUUUGGAUUAUUUGUUGCGGAUGUAAAUCUAAUUUGUAACUCUUGUAAUACCUUGUGCACCCUUAAUAUUUUUUAAUUGUUAUUUUUUACAGCUGUGUAGUAUGCACUUGUCUUAUGCCCAUUAUAUAUUGUGUAAACGAUGUUGUCGUAUACAUUCUCAUUUCAUAUUUAUGGUUGUAACAUGCAUGACUGGGGUUGCUAUUGUUGGUUGCCACUUGGAUAUUAGAUGGACAUUGGAACACAAAAUUCUUGUUCAUUUAUUUACUUCCUUGCUUCAUAAUAUAAGCAUUGUAGGACUGCUUACGCAUUUGUAGCACAAGAAAUUCUCCAGGCACCCAAGGUGUUAAAGCCCCAGGCGGUUUUAAUAGAACAAAAGGAACAGCAACGUUUCGACCUGCUAAGAGGUCUUUGUCAAGCUUGACAUCAUCAAUAACCAUGAGCUUUGAGCCAGUACUGCAGAACGCAAUGUCAUUUUAUAAUGAAACAAUAUUGCAAAAAUGGUGAUAGGAGCAGCACUCAAACCCAGCAGCCAUCCUGUGCUCCAGAGCAGGACCAGCAAUACCACAACUACCAAGUUUCUUGUGCUGCUUUGUAGUUGUGGGAUCGCUGGUCCUGCUCCAGAGCACUGGGUGGCUGCUGGGAUUGAGUGCGGCUCCUAUCACCAUUUUUGCUUAUGCAUUUGUGGCUUUUUGGGGAAUUUAUUGCCAACCAAUUCCUUAGCUAGCCAUUCCAUACUCAUACUCUGUGAUCAUUUUAGUCUACAUUUAAAUUUUAGAUUUAUUUCAAUUAAUUUAGGGGCUAGAAAACCAUAUAUUGCAUUCAUGCUUCAUCUUCUGGAUUGUCUUAUAUUGCAAACACAAAUUGAAACUUACUAAUUAACCUUUUGUUAAGGAGAUUCUAUUUUACUUUACACACAAUGUUUUAAUUUUUUUUUCUUAAAGAAGCACAAUGGCUCAUUGGAAACAGUAGGUUCAUGGCAACACAAACAAUGAAAACACUAAACACAUGACAUAAAUACAAGUGUAGUGAGUGAUUCUAUUUACAUACGCUGGUGGAUUCAUUUCACAACAGCCCUUGGGCAUAUCAACUUUGCUAAGAAGAUUACUAAAUGCGUUUUUAACACACAAUACAUUACACAGAAAAUAUUCACUGCUUCUCCGUGGCUUAUAAAGCUCUCCUACAAAUCAGGAACAUAAAUAAUAACAGUUGCACGCUGAAAUAGUAUAAUUAUACUGUGAAAUCGCUCCCCACAGGAAUACCCAUUUGAGAAGAUACAUAAAAACCUAUGAAACUUAAUCAAGAAUAUAAGCAUUGCAUUAUAUAUUCAUGCAAAUGACAAUGCCGAAAGUUACCAUAGAAGUGAAAGUGUGUUUAAAAUCAUUUCUAUUAAAUCAAUGUAAUAUUCAUUAUUAAAUUACCACUGCCGGAAUAUAUGUAUAUUAUAUCUAAUCUAAUCUAUAUAUUAUGUAAUAAAAUAAAGAACAGAGAGCAAUGCAGUUGCCUACAUCAUUUCAUUUCUGAAUUGGAUCUUGCAAAAACGGUAAGUCGUUGAAUAGCAUUGAAGUCUGUAUAAAAUCUACAUUUUCAUUUAAUCAUUCCUUGUCUGUUCUAGUUACAGCACGCUACCUACUAUAUACCCAUUGUAAGGACAAGAUUAAACAAGUGACUUUAAAGCAAAUGUAAAGCACCUGCUAAUAGGGUUAAAGAAGUGAUAAGGAACUUUGCGCAAUGUAACCUGCAUUAAAUAUUUAGCUUGUCGUACCUGAAUGAGUAACAAGGGUUAAAUGAAUGGUGCUACAAGAGUCAUUCUUAUUCGCACUGAUAUGAUUUCAGGAAUUCAGAUCUACCAUUCCUCCUAAAUUAGCAGUUACUGGGGUGAAUGAAAGAAUACAUUAUCCAGUUCUAUUUUAAGAAUAAUAUUAUAUAUUUGCAGAAAUGUCCAUGCUUGAAGCAAACAUUUUAACAUUUAGUACAAAUUUUUAUAUUUUCAAAACCAUAAGUUAGCAAAAUUGUAUUUAUGUAUGUAAAAAUAUACAUCAAUUUAUACAGAAUAUGUGCAAAACUUAAAAUGGGACGCCCUAAGUGCAAAAAAGCACCAAAAAGACAUCAGCUUAAUCAAUUGGUUUUGGUCUACAUACAGUGCUUCUACAUGUCACUGCUCAGUUCUCUGCCAUUUAGGAGUCAAAUUACUUUGUUUGUGCAUUGACUCGCACAGUCUUCCAAAACACUUCUCGAAAAAGACCCUACAUUUUUUUAGCUUCCUUUGUUGCACAGUGUGUUUACUUUAGAAUUUCUUAUCUCCUGCUCUGUUAAUAAUCUGCUAGACUCUGCUGGAGUCCAAUGAGUUAAUAACUUCUAAAAUAAAUCCAUUUUGCCAUAAGAUCUGAUUAAGAAUGAAACCAUUUUUUUCAUGGAGGCUGUGAAAGUCACAACCACAAGAGAUGUAAUGAUAUGUGCCAACUGUCCUAAUUUCUAGGAACAGUACUAUGUUUUGGGUUCCUGUCCCAGCUAAAAAGGAAUCUUAGGAUCUGCCCUGCAUUCUAGGGGUAGUACUACCAAUGGUCCAGCCAGUGUAGCCACCACAGCUACAGGAAGUCUGAGUGGGGUUAAAAGGAGAGUAUUUGCAAAGGUUGGGCAAUGGGGUAUAUGAUGAACACUCGAGACUGGAGUUCUCUAAAUAUUAAUGAACUAUACAGAUAAUACAUUUAACAGAAAUGACUGACAUUUUAUCCCAGAUUUGCAGUUCCAAUGCAAUGAGCUCUAUCAAGACUAUAAGACUAUAAAGUUGCUGCCACUUAUCAGUUAAUUGUUGAUUGCCCAUUGAUCCUAAUAUGUAUUGAGCAAGUUUUGACAAACCACUAACCUGAAGGGAUUUCUGGAGUAUGUAGCAAGCACUAGUCAGUAGUUCAGGUCAUCAGAUGAAAAACUAUAUGCUAACCAGAGCUUGCAGUAAGCGCUCAGCAGCAGUUUAGUUAAUCACAUAAAAAUGUUCAAAAUGGCUGCUAACAGCUUAUUGACAGUUUCUUCUAUGGUGAAAUAUACAUGUUUUCUUUUGAGACAUGUGUGAGCGAGAGGUAGGCUUAUAGCUACAGUGAUGUUUGUAUUUUUGGGGUAUUUAGGCACUGUGUGCAGGGAGAUAGUGGAAAGUAACUAAUUUUCACCAUAAUAUGUACAAAGACCAUAGAGUCCCUUUAAAUCAUUUUCUUACGUUUAAUACAGACACACUUCAAACUUGAGUGAACAACAGAGUUAAGCUAUGUCCUAUUUGGGGCUUAAAUAUAAGGUGUUACAUCCUUCACAACUAUGUUCAUUUCUUUAAAAAGAACAGCAAGGUACACAAUGUAAAUUAUGAAAUAGAAUAUAUUUAGAAUUUUAACAGAAUAGAAUAGAAUCUUAGUUAGCUACUGAGUUAUGUCAAAGCCCUACAUGUGACAGUUCCCCUUUAAUGUUUUUAUUUGUAAUGUUUUAAAUUUGCCGACUAUCCCCCUACGCAAUUAUUUAAUGCCAGUAUCCAUUGCAAGGCAAACCUUCCCAUCACUCAGCAGCACAAAGAAAAGGAGGAAUAAGGACAUUUAUAGAAUAAUCAGCUAUCUCAUAAUUUAAAACAAUGUUAGAAAAGGUAAGCGAUAUGCCUCACAAUCAUGAACUAAUUUCGCUCACAGCUAUAAACUAUUAUUAAGUAGAAUUAAAAGUCACUCACUUGACCCCAAAAAAAAAAAACCCUACAUAGUUUCAUGCUUUUUUUUUCUUACAAUAGUUCAUCUUUAAGUAUAUGGGCAAUAGAGUUAUGCGACAAGUUGAUGCCUUUGUAAUUAUUUAACAAAUAGUAGACACAAUUAAAGAAGCUGUUUUAGCAAAAGAAAAAGAAAAAAUGUUCUGAGUGAGUUGGCAUUAACAUUAAUGCAACACCUUAAGUGCUGGAGAGCUUAAAUCAAACUGACAGGUAAUGUUGUGCUCUGUCAUUGAAAGAAAGCACCAAGCUUGCUGUCUCAUGUAAUUUUUGUUUUCUUGACGGAUGCAGUAGAAAUCAUCAUAAGAAAAGUGUCCACUGGGUAAAUAUGCCUAUCUCAAGGUUUUAGUGACUUUCAUAAGUGUUCUCUACACGGAAGUGCACGUAGCACAUUCUAGUAGGGGAUGCACUGUUAUUAUUACUAUUUUUUUAUUUUAUUUUUUAAGUAAAAGGAGACUGUUUAUGGAAAACAUAGCCACGGACAGGUAAAAAAGAAAAGACUCCUUUAUAUUUGUCAAAUGAGUUGAAACAUAGCUGUUUAUUUUAAAUCAACUGAAAACUUCCACUUUCAAGACAAACUUCAAAAAUGAAUUUGAAUUUGAAUUUCAAAUUGUCAUAUAUUAAAGAUGGGGUGAAGUGCUCUGUAUUAGAGUCGGCACACCUGACAUAUCCUUUAUGCAUGCUUAUAUCUCUUUAUACCUUUACAUACUUUUUAUUCUUUUCUAAAAAAGUAAAUGUAUACAUAUACUGAACAAAAUUAUAAACGCAACACUUUUGUUUUUGCCCCCAUUUUUCAUGAGCUGAACUCAAAGAUCUAAGACUUUUUCUAUGUACACAAAAGGCCUAUUUCUCUCAAAUAGUGUUCACAAAUCUGUCUAAAUCUGUGUUAGCGAGCAUUUCUCCUUUGCCAAGAUAAUCCAUCCAUCUCACAGGUUUGGCAUAACAAGAUGCUGAUUAGGCAGCAUGAUUAUUGCACAGGUGUGCCUUAUGCUGGCCACAAUAAAUUUGCAGUUUUAUCACACAGCACAAAUGUCACAAGUUUUAAGGGGGAGCAUGCAAUUGGCAUGCUGACUGCAGGAAUGUCCAUCAGAGCUGUUGCCCGGGAAUUGAAUGUUCACUUCUCUACCAUAAGCCAUCUCCAAAGGCUUUUCAGAGAAUUUGUCAGUACAUCCAACCAGUCUCACAACCACAGAACACGUGUAACCACACCAGCCCAGGACCUCCACAUCCAGCAUCUUCACCUCCAAGAUCGUCUGAGACCAUCCACCUGGAUAGCUGCUGCAACAAUCGGUUUACAUAAUCAAAGAAUUUCUGCACAAACUGUCAGAAACCAUCUCAGGGAAGCUUAUCUACAUGCUUGUUGUCCUCAUCGGGGUCUCGACCUGACUGCAUUUCGUCAUCAUAACCGACUUGAAGAGGCAAAUGCUCACAUUUGAUGGCAUCUGGCACUUUGGAGAGGUGUUCUCUUCAUGGAUGAAUCACGGUUUUCACUGUACAGUGUAGAUGGCAGACAGCGUGUUGUGGCGUUGUGUGGGUGAGCGGUUUGCUGAUGUCAACAUUGUGGCCCAUGGUGGCAGUGGAGUAAUGGUAUGGGCAGGUGUAUGUUAUGGAAAAUGACAGGUACAUUUUAUUGAUGACCUUUUGAAUGCAAAGAGAUACCGUGAUGAGAUCCUGAGGCUUGUUGUUGUGCCAUUCAUCCACGACCAUCACCUCAUGUUGUAGCACGAUAAUGCACUGCCCCAUGUUGUAAGCUGAAAAUAUCCCAGUUCUUGCAUGGCCAGCAUACUCACCCAUUGAGCAAGUUUGGGAUGCUCUGAAUCGGCAUAUACGAUAGCAUGUUCCAGGUCCUGCCAAUAUCCAGCAACUUCGCACAGUCAUUGAAGAGGAGUGGACCAACAUUCCACAGGCCACAAUCAACAACCUGAUCAACGCUAUGCAAAGGAGAGGUAUUGCACUGCGUGAGGCAAAUGUUGGUCACACCAGAUACUGACUGGUUUUUGGACCACCCCGGAUCCCCCCAAUGCAGUAAAACUGCACAUUUUAGAGUGGCUUUUUAUUGUGGCCAGCCUAAGGCACACUUGUGCAAUAAUCAUGCUGUCUAAUCAGCAUCUUGAUUGCCACACCUGUGAGGUGGAUGGAUUAUCUCGGCAAAGGAGAAGUGCUCACUAACACAGAUUUAGACAGAUUUGUGAACAAUAUUUGAGAAUAAUAGGCCUUUUGUGUACAUAGAACAAGUCUUGGAUCUUUGAGUUCAGCUUAUGAAAAAUGGGGGCAAAAACAAAAGUGUUGCGUUUAUAAUUUUGUUCAGUGUAUAUAUAUAAAACACACUAUUUACAAUAAAUAAUAUUUUCCAUGUAGUUUUGAUCUGAAGCAUCUAAGUGUUUGUCAAUCAAGUAUAUUUGAGCAACCCACUUUAAAAAAAUAAUCUGCAUGCCCAUGUGAUCCAACCCAACAAAGGCCUGGUACACAAACUUAGAGUUCUGGUGGCCCUUCCUUGCCAUUCCCAGUGGUCAUGUUUGAGAAUGAAUUCAGAUUUCUGAAUCCAAUAAAAUUGAUAGAAUUUCAAAUAAAUAAAUAAAUAAAUAAAUACAGCCCACACAAUGAAGAUAACAUUUGUUAUGUUGCUUUUUUUUUUUUUAACAGCACAUGCAUAUGCAAGUAGCAUCUUGCAUAAGAACUACAUAAAAUUAAGAACCAAAAUCAAUUGAUUCAGUCUAAAAUUGCAAUAAUUCCCCUGGUCACAAAAAUGAGUAGAAACAGGCAGUCUGUGGUCUGAGUCUUUGGUUAAGUAAAAAAAAAACCUUACCCAGGGUAUUCUCUGUAACUUGUUCAAUACAGAAAAAGAUCAAAUUCAAGAUUCCUUGAAGUAAUCAGCUUUUCAAAAUGUAGUGGACUGAAUAGAGAAGGUUGACAGGAUUUGGAUUAUGGAAGGACUGCAUCAAGCAGGUCCAAUGCCCACAUUACUUACCAAAUCUGAUUGGCUUGGCAACAAUAUUUGUGUUUCUAUGGACAAUUUGAUUAAAUAACCAUUCAUCAUCUAUUUAAGAUUGUUACAUAAGUCUAGCAUGAAUGCAUCCAACUAUACCCAACUACUUACACAUUGUUGUUGACUGUGUGUCCACCCUCACUGGAUCUUCAUUGACUGCAUAGAGCUCCUUAACUUCUACUUACUAUAUCCUCCAUCUAUUUCUUUUCAGGCUGGUUUAGUUGUUAUUUUUUUAAUGCAUAUAAAUGGGAAAAUGGCUCAUUGUAAUCUAUAUUCUGCUUUACCUUGCUCUGUGGUAGUAGCAAUCUUUACAUCCUCUUUGAUUGUCAGACCAAAGAUCAUGCCCAUGAUUGAGAACUACCGUGCAUUAAUGACUACUGAUGUCACACACUUGGCAUCACAAAAAUGCACUUGACCUGGGUUUAGCCAUUCACAUGUAACAUUUGUCAUGUAACUUAAAGAUGGCUUGAUUGUUUAUUUACCAAUCGAGGAAUUAUGGAGCAAUAACAAGGUAAAAAAACCACACAAAAAAAAAAACAUUUCCAAAUUGGCUGUUUUCUGAGCUUUGCUAGCUUUACAUUAAAACAAUGCUAAUUCUAUUAUCAAUGUUCUGCAAUUCCAGGCCAUAUAAAUCCUGCUGAUUCAAAUUCCCAUUUUAUCAAGAUAUAUCAAUAUCACAGGUAUCACAUUAAAUUAGAGUGAACGUCCAGAGAAAACUGAUUCCUACUUAAAAACGGUGAUUGGAAAAAUCAACAUCUUACUUGAGUGAAUACUAGCAAGGCUCUUUACUAAUGUGAGAAUUCAAAGUGCAUUUCAAUUUUAAGAUAAAAAGAGCCAAACUUAAAAAAAAUCUGUGUCAGCUAUGCCUUUAAUUUGGCUACUCUGACCUUUAAUGUAAAAAUAGCCAAAACCUUCUUCUUGGCAAACCUGCUGUUGGAACCCCAAUAAUGGUGACAAUUAUGCUUGCUUCCAAUUAUGGCAAUAUGUAUAACGGAGACUACAUUCUCAAAUAAUUGAAUUAGAUUUAUGAUUUUAUUUUUUAAUAACUGUAUUUUUAAAAACAAACAAACCGAAAAAAGUCUUUAAUUCAUAAAGCCAUGUAAUUACAAAAUGUUUCCUGCUCAUGUCCUACAAAUUAAAUAUAUGCAUAUAUUAAAUGAAAAACAAUAAAUAAAAUAAAGUAAAUGGAUCUUAGAAAACAUGCAUUUAUCAAUUUUUUGCUUUUCCUUCUUUUUAGCUACACUCAGCACCCAAUUAAAUUGAAAUAAAUGUUUAUUACGGGCAAAGCAUUUGGGAAAUAUCAUUCAAUUUACAUGUAGCAUUAUUAACAAUUCUAUUUAUCCCCAUUUAAGAUACUACAUAUAAUUUAAAAUAAAAUAUCAUAACAAUUACAGUCUGUAAGAUUUAUUUGAAAGGCCAGAACAACAAUAUGGAACAAAACAGUUUCAUGGUAAUGUUGCCCUUGUGCACAGAUGUUUUCUGCUGCGGUGACUGUAGCACCCAUAACAUUUAAAAUGUGGAUUUUCUUUUUACAAUAGACAUUAAAACCAGGAAAACCAAACAUUGCUAAGUACAGAGUUCAGAGUCGUUUUCAGGGAUAAUAGUGACAUAAAGGAACAGAAAAUUAUUGCACAGAUACAAUGGUGACAAAUGUAAAAAAAAAAAGAGAUAAAGUCAUACAUUCUAUAAACUAGUAUUUUUUAUUUUUAUUUUUACUAACAUUCAAUAGAAAAAAAAAAUAGAAACAUAUAAUGAUUGUCUGAGUGACAGAGCUGAGCAAUUUGUUUUGAGGCUGAAAUACAAUGAAGGAUUCAUUUAACCCUUUGGGUGAUUUGUUGUAUGGUUAUUAGGAUUGUGGUAAACAUUAAACUGAAUUGUACAUUUUGGAAAGAUAUAGAUUGAUUGGAAACAAUCCAAUUUGGCAGUUUUACUGGCCUGGAUAUGUUUGCCUAAAUUUAGCAAUUUUUCAUUGCACUGUAAUUCACUGUUGGAAAACCCCAGUGUCUUUGAAGCUAACGUGUACAAUUUAGUCUAGAAUUGCAGAAUCAGGAAAAAAAAAUUACUGGUGAACUAUUUUUGACUAAAUAUUUGGUUACAUGUUUGCAAACACUGCUGCAUUUAAAUAAAUGUUGGAGUAUGUUAUUUUAUUCAGAUGAAGUUUUAAUAAAACAUUUUUUUGUGUGUUUUGAAAACAAUUACAGCAUUUUGUAAGGUGUAAAGUAUAUGUAGAUCCUUCAUAACUAGGUGUAAUAUUUUGUUUUUGUGUUAAAGGUGUGAAAAGUGUUUUGUGAAAAAAAAAGUAUGCAUAUCCUAACAUGUAUUGUAUGAUUUCCAAAAAAACUAUAAUAAAUGUGUAUGAUAAAUUAAAUGUAACAACAACAUAUUUUCAAGAUAUUUCAUAUACAAAAUCCUCAUUUUACAAUUAUUAUACAAUAUGUACUUGACAAGUCCUAUUGUUGUGUGUUUCUAUUUUAAUAUACCAAAUGCAUCUAACAUUGAUUAAUUAUAUAUACCAGAUAUUGAUGCAGAGCCUUCAAAUUAUUCUGGAAUAUGAAAUCUAAACAAAGGAAUGUUAUUUAUAACAAAAUAUGCAACAAUGAAAUAUAGACAUUUUAAUAUUCACUUCUUACAAUGUAUUACUGUUAACUGUUUAAAAUUUGGCAUGAUUUGACUGCCGUAGACAACAGUUGCAGUUUGAAGUUAUGAAUAAAAAAUUAUUUCUUUGCUUUUACAUCUUUAAAAAAAUAAAUCAAACCUUUUAUCACACGGCAUACUCUGCGAUCCCCUUUCUGAAGGUUUUAAUAACAGAAUUCAGAUUAAUUGAGAAAAUGCCUCUUUACACAAGAAGUCACAAAUAGGACAAUGCUGACAAACAAUAGCUUCACUCACCUAAAAUUCAAAUAUGUUUUUUUUUUUUUUAAUUCAGAUACGAUAUUUAAGGGCAUAUUUUCUCAGAAAGUGGCAGUUCUUAAUUCAUAUCAGUAACUCAGAAAGGUUAAAAAUGAAGAAAAAGAUAUAUUUAAAUUACCUGUGACAAUAGAAUGUUUGUAUUUUUGUAAGUAAAUAAUUUAACAAAAAUGUGCUAUUUCUGUAAGAGACAUCACAUGUAUUUUAAAUUACAGCACAAAAUGUAUCCCAAAUUCUUGUUGUGAAACCAAGUAUACAGAAUGCAACACACACACAGGAUAAUCUAUAUAAAUAUGAAACAAGUGAAAGGUUUACGUACAUUGCUAAACAAAUCGAAGGAUAUACUGAUAUCCAUGUUAAUUUAAAACUUGAAUCUUAUAAAUGUCUAUUAAAUGGAAUAUCUGAAGUUGUUCAUGAGCUGAAGGUCCAGGAAGUAACAGAAUAAUAUGUGGUGUUUAAUUAUCAGGGGUUGCUCCAAAAAGAUUUAUCAGCCAUGAUCUAUCUGCCUCUUUCAGAGCAUCAAAUUAUUUUUCAGACAUAUCUAGAAUUUUAUUAACUAAUUUAUGAACUGAUGAAUCACUGUGAAGAUAUUUGGACCAGAGCAGCAAGACCUCAAUAAUUUGGGCCCACUGCAUUAUCCAACCUAUUGAUUUAUAGCCUAGCCUCAUAAUAUGUUCAGGGAUCGUAAGUUAUGCAGUACUGAGACUAAACAACAGGUGGUGCUGGAGUUCCAUUGAUAAAGCCUAUUUGUUUCAUAAUAAAUGUAACUCUGGAAUUCUUAAAAUCCUUACGGUGUACACAGCUGAAGAACACAAUACUACGAAACUAUAUAUUGUUAAAGAGCAGAAAAUAUAAGCAAGUAUAUUGUAUUAUAAAAUAAUCUUAUAUGAAUAGAUAACAAUCAUUUUAAAAAUCAACAUGAGAAAGCUUUAAAGAGUAAUCAAAUUAAAAGCAUCACUUAUCUUUAAUAAUUAUUUUUCAUAUACCUGUCCUUUAACAAUAGACCUACUACAUAAACCUGAAUACAUAAAAUAAACAAACUGUGAAAACAGUUCACAAAAUCUCGAUAAACAAUUUAAGUGGAACGUAUUUGAAUUACAAACAAAAAUGUGAGUUUGCAACAUUUUGUUGUUUUGAAUUUGUCACUUACCAGAGCAAACAUUCCAAAUACCCUUUCUAUGUAGGUUUAAACAACAUGGAUUAUCAGAUCAACAACAACAAAAAAACAAAAACAAAAAAAAAACAGAACAAAUUCACGCUUCCUUGGCAAACUCUGACCUAAGCAGAACAUUUUCGAUACAUUGUAUAGAAAUACCUAAAUAAAUUAAAGACAACACAGAGGUUAAAACAUUCAGCACUCAAAUAUCUGUGUGUUCCUUGUAAGUAACUUUCAUUUAACUAAAUACAUUAAAUAAAAAUGUUUUUUUCUCUUGUUUCAUGGUGAUUUGUUUAUUCAUUUCCUGUUUUAUUAAAGUUUGUGUAUGUGCUAAUUAUGAAUGAUUCAUAAAUUAAAGUAAAUUAAUAUUUUGCGCUUGCAAUAUAUUCAUGUCUCUGUGAUUGCAAAUGUUUUUAUGGUAGUGUUCUACAGAGGAAAAAAACAACAACUUUACUUUAACCUCUUAGAUGCAAUAAGUGUACCUAUCACAUUUAAAUAAGUCAAAGGAUCAGGCGUUUACAGUGAGAUUCCCGGAAGGAUGAGAGGGUUAGACCAGCCCCAACGUAGCUUACAUUAUUUUAAGAACUGAAUGAAUUUGCAGAAAGAGGCCUUGGGCCAGGAAGACAGAGAACUUGUAUAGAACCACCAAGCUGUGCAGCAUCAUGGCACAGUGUAAGGUCACAGGAAUGUGCAUGCCCUGACUCUGAACCUCGCUUCACUCCCCGGACAUUGGCUGCAGCUUCUAAAAGAAUGUGUGUGAUGAUUUUAGCUUCCCUAAUGUGCUCAGUGUUCAUUCUCUAAGCACUGCUACCGGGAGGCUGCAAUUUACUGCCCUCCAAAAAUGACACUCAUUCAUGUCCCAAGACCAAGUCCCUAGAAAAGAGAAGUUUUUAGGAUAAAAAACAAAACAAAACAAAAACACACAAAUCGUGUGAAUGUAAUAAAAAAAAAAAAAAGAAAGCCAAACAUAUCACAUUAACAUGCAUACACAGAGGUAAACCUGCUAAAUUGCAAACUUCUCAUGUAACACAUUUACCACUUGGAGAGACAUUUUACCUGCAUGCGUUGCCACUCUUUGCCUUAAUGGAGCUGUAUAUCUUCUUCACCCAUGUAACUAUUCUUCUUUGCCCUGCAUUAUGCAGAAUUGAUAAGAUGCACUAGGGUAAUAAAUUACAUUGCAAUCUUUAAUUGUUUAGUUUGCUUCUCUCCUGCCGCAUUUAGAUUCUACAUACUGCAAGGCAGUACUUUUAGUGCUCAUCCCUGCAGAAUGUUAAAGAGAUAUGUAUAGAAACACAAAAGAUCUGGCAACCCUCGCAGUAAUAAAGACAAAUGUGUGUCACUAAAGAUGCAUACGCGGACGCUACAAACACAUACAUAUAUACAAAUAUUUAGGAUUUGUGUUCAUUCAAUGAAAUACACAUUGUGUUGAGUGUUUCCAGCCUACAGAUUUAUGAUUUCUGGUUAUUUGUUGUACUUUCCACGAGCUCGCUAAGAGCUGAGAUAUGUAUUCCCCAUAAAUCUCAAGUGUCAGUGUUUGAUAUCAGGUAUAUGAAUAGUGCAGAUAGGAGAGGGAUUUGUUUUCAAACCCACACACAAAAUAGCUCAAAGGGAAACACAAUGCUAUGAGAAAAUCUUUAAAGUACAAUAAAUAUAUUUGUAAGAUGUCAGUCGUAGAAGAGAUAGUGUUGAUAUACAAUAGAUAAUACUGGCAAAUAUCUCCUAUGGGCGUAUAGUUAAAGGGACACUAUAAUCAACAGGAACAGUACAGCUUAAUGUAGUUGUUCUGGUGUCUAUAGUCUGUCUCUGCAGGCUUUUUAAUGUAAAUACUACUUUUUCAGAGAAAAACACUGCUUAGUAACACCUCUAGUGGCAAUCCCUCAGAUGGCCACUAGAGGUGCUUCAUAUGUGGCAUUCAGUGUCUCCACGCUCAGCAUUGAGGCAUUGAAUAUUCCCCAUAGAUGUGCAUUAAUUCAAGAUUGAUGAUCUCAGCCAUGGAGGCAGACGCAGCCGUAGCGAGACCAGAGCGGCGGUGGACAAAAAGGUAAGUUAAAAACCUUUUAACUCCACAGAGAGGGUGGCCGGGGAGCUAAACAUGUGUUCCAGCCCUAUAGUGUCAGGAAUAGACAUUUGUAUUCUGACUCUAUAGUGCUCUUUUAAAUAUACACAGUGAACCAACUGAAGUAGUUUUUUGUUUUUAUAACAUUUUGUUACAAUUUUCUGUAAGAUGUAGUAGGUAAAUGUUUGUCAGAUUCACCUAAAUUACCUUGACACAUAACACUUCUACAUUCCGAUAGGUUUCCCUGUUGUAUGCAGAAUUAAUAUCCUCUAGGUCUGAAAUCAAUUAACUAAUAAAGUCAGUUAUUUGGGUUUAUUUAGUUAUUUAUUUAAUUUCUGUUUCUGUGGAAUCUACAAUACUACAGGGCAUCUUUAACUUUCAUACUAUACAUAUCAACAAAAAUUAAAUGUGUUAAGGAAGACAUGGCGAGGUGUGUCUGGCAAACCCGUAUAGGGGAAUUUGGGAAGAUUUGUUGGAGUUGUAUGUAAAUAUGUAUGGAUUAGAAGCAAUUUAUGUAAUUUGUUUCUCAAUAGAUUACAAUUUUAGCACCAUAUCUGGGGUCAAUGUAAAAGAUAAAUCUGCAGCUUUUGGUGAGAAAUUAGUAAAAAUGAGUGUGAUAAUCCAUUUUUAAGUUUAUUCAUUAUACAUGGAAAAUGCAAAAUUUACGCUAAAGGGCUGUCCUAAAAAAUCUGCAACUUCUCUUUAGGUAAAGCUUUAGCACUUUGAGUGUUCAAAAAAUCUAUAUUUAAAUAUUAUUAUUGUAUUAAAUAUAUAUAUUUUUACAGGCUUCUCCUAUUUUUUUAUCUUAUUACCCACUUCUAACGUGAUCUGUGAAUAAAAUCAACAUUUAGUGUAUUGUCCUCUAGCCAUCACUUAUUGUUUUCUCCAUCAAUCAUUUCCUUUUUUUUUUAAUUACAUUUGCUAAAUAACCUCCUACACCCAAUCCACCCGCCUUACUGAUUUGUGGCAGUCCCCCUCAGCAUCUAAAAUAACAAUGAAUAAAGAAAGUUAUGUGAAAACAAAAUAAAUUGGAACCCCUGAAUAAAAAAGUGAGUAGCAUCUCUUCGAAGCACAUUUCUGCACUCAAAUGUGCCUUUCUCAAGAGCAACGAGGCUGGUCCCAAUCUCCACGCCUCUUAAUUACGUCGUACAGCCAAUCAGCAUCGGCGGGAGUGGUUUUCAAAUGCCAAGAAUGAUCUCAGAUGCAAUCUCGUUGGUAGGCUAACGCCAGCUUUGCCAGACAUACUGGGCUUGCAGUUGUCAGUGGGCUAACUCCUACCUAGCCUCCCGAGUUUGGAAAAGCUGGGUUUAUGAGCCCUUUCAAAAUCAUACUGACCUUCUAAAUAUAUGUAUAAAUUAUAUUAAAAUAUGUAUAUUAAAAUACAUAUUUUUUUGGUUUUAGAAUCUGAAGUUUUAGCAUGUUUUAUGCUCCUGUGAAAACUUUAAAGGAGAGUAGAUUGUGCUUAAGGCAAUUUUUUGUCAACAAAAUGGUGAAUCAAUAUAUUCAUCUUAAAUUCUGACGACUAUAUAAGUAUGGUUAAUAAAGUCCUGGAUAAUGGUGAAACCUAUAAGACCUUGAGUUCAGAUCCAACAAACGUAUUUCUCUUGGAAUAAAAUAAAAUACUUGACCAGAUGUUAGUGUUUUCCUCUGACGAGGGGGGAGCACACUUCUAGGCACCAAAAUGCACAUCAAGUUAUCUCUAAUCUCACUUUGACAUUAUGAGCAUGGUGUGGGAUUACUUUAUCUGGGCACCUUAUACAUGUUCGGCUGUAUCCAAACAUUUUUAACUAGACACCGACCUAGUGAUAUGCUGCUAAUUUAAUCUCCUUUCUAUCUUUUCCUAUAUCCUUUCUAGUCAGAUUUACAGGGAGAGAGGCUUACUAUCAUUUUUUCGUACUACAAUUUUCCUCCUUAUAUCCCCUUCUUACCAGUCUAUGCGAAGACCACCAAUGCUGAGUUAACACACCCUUUGACUCUGUAUUAAGCACAGCACUUGACAGACGUGUAUCUUUCUACAUAAGUUGGUACUAUUCUGCAAUUACCAGCACAACAUCAGAAGUAACACAUGCUAGUAUUAUUGAUACUAUUGGCAUGAUUACUUUGUAUUUUAAUUUGAUACACAGACUGUGAUGAUCUUUGCUCAAAUCUGACUAAUAUACAUACAGAAUCUACCUUAUACUGGACAUACUUUUUAACAACAAUUUAGCCAGUCAUGUAUACUGUGUGGUAAACCUGACUCGUCUAAUAUAGAAAUAGCCUUAUAAAGCUAAGGAAUGUAUGUAUAUAGCCAUUUUGCAAGUAAGUUAAGUUUUUGUUACAUUUGUCUCCACCACAGAGAUCCCACAAUUACUUUAGAUGCUAGUAUAUAUCCAGGGAGCCCUCUCCUCACUUAUGUGAGAAGAUUUUGGCUUUUUCUUUUUUCCUUUUUUCUUAAUAAAAGAAUGCUACUCAUUCUUUUAUUCUCAUAUUCCAAUUUAUUUUGCUUUCAUGUAAAUUUCUUUAUUCAUUAUUAGUUUAGAUGCUGAGAGGGACUGCCACGAAGCAGUAAGGCUGGUGGAGGAGGUGGAUUGGUGUAGGUUAUUUAGCAACCAAGCUUAAGCAAUGUUACUGGGCAUUUACCCAUGCUAGACCUCAUUACUCCCUUUUCCCCUCCCGAUCCCCUGUUUACCACUGUGGCGGCUGUAUACUAGACUGCUAUGAAGGGGACUGCCACAAAGCAGUAUGAAGGGUGGAGGACGUGCAUUGGUGUAGGUUAUCAAGCAAACAAGCAACAUCAUAUUCCCAUGCUAGACCUUUUUACUCCCUAUUCCCCUCCCGGUUCCCUGUCAAUUUCUGCGGCAGCUGUAUAUUAGAUACACAUGCAGUUUUUCUGUGAUAUAUUAUCUGGUAUUUAUUCUACAUUAUAAUAGAUUGUAUAUUUUUUAGGAGGCUUCUUGUCAUGGUGAAUAGUACGUAUGGAUUAAUAAUCUGGUUUACAACUGGUUAAGUGCUAUCUCAUUUACUAUUUUUUUAUUAUAGCUACUGUUCACCGACUAUAGACUAGAAUUCAUAAGGAAACAGAUACUAUCAAGUGACACUGUUUAACCUGACAACACUGUUCUUGUAUCAAACAGCAAGGUGGAUACCUCUCGGUUACAAUCAUUUCAUGAUACAAUCUACCCCCAAGCUAUUAAAUAUUACAUCUUCACUACCUUAUGUACAUCCUUGAAAGCAAUUGGCUCCCUUUUUAAUCACUUUUGUUUUUCACUGUGUGUAACACUAUCACAAUUAAGUGUUUAAUUGAGGUUCAUUUUUAUUACUUGUGGCACUGCUAUACGUCAUUGCCAUCUAAUAAAGUUUUCCUUUUUUUCUACAUCUGUGCUGGCAACAUUUUGAUCCCUGGUACCAGUUUUGUCUGAGACCAGUUCUCAUUUUUUUUUUCUAUAAUUUUAAAUAUUGGUCCCAAUCUACCCAUCACCCUCUAAAAUAUUUGGAAUUUGGGAAUUAUGACAAAUACCCAAAUUUGGCCGAAUUGCAGUUCAGUCUGAAACAAAUCUCAACAUCUACUAACACCACUUUCAAACACACACACACACACACACACACACACAAAAAUUCACAUAGCUAACCAUUCACACUCAUACAAUCAGCUCACUAGUCACUAACAUACACUAUAAACCCAUUAAUCAUUUUUCCAGUAAUUUAUUGCCAUCAAAAUGUCAGAUUUCUCCAAAAUUAGUAUCAAUGGGUGGACGAACAGACAUGUAGUUGUAACCAGACAAGUUGGACACACAGGAACAGAGGGGUUGAGGGCCCUGCUCAAUGAGCUUACAUGCUAUAGGGAGUGGGGUAAAAUGACACAAAAAAGUAAGGCUAGUAUUCAACUAGUGACAGUUGCCGAAGAUGCCACAUUGCCCACUUUCACCACAGUUUCCCACAUCAAUUCACAUGAAUCACAUCUGUAUUCUGCCAAAGAAGCCUAAAGGUCUAAUAAGUACAGUGCAGAUGUAUGAUAGCAACUAGGGGGAAGGAGUAAGCAUGGGGCAUGUGUCAAGGAACACUUAAAGGGAAACUAUAGUGCAAGGAAAAAAGUAGUUUUCCAAACACAAUAGUGACCUAUACUGCCUCCUCCGUCAUGGCACUAAAGGGGUUAAAAACACAUUUAUCAAUUACCUGAUUCCAACGCGAUAUUAUUCUGCGCUGGUUCGAGUUCCUCCUACACCAACGUCAACUGGUGGGUGGCCUAAUACGCAUGCACACCGCGGCCCGAAAUCGCAUUAGGACUUCUCCCAUAGGAAAACAUUAUACAGUGCAGCUGUAAAUAUGCAACCCUGCAAUGUAAUUAUUGCGGUUUUUCAAAAACUGCAAUACUUAGAAUUGCAGGGUUAAGGGUCCUGUAAUAUUGCCCCCAGACCACUUAAAUGAGCUGAAGAUGCCUGGGUGCCUAUAGUGUCCCUUUAAGGCUGGUCUUAUUCAAGUAACUAUUUACUGUAUUUAUGCCCACAUGCAGAGAUAAUUUUUUUACAGCUUUCGGUGACAUUUUAGGAAUCUGCAUUCAAAAAAAUGGCCAUUAGGUUUCUUGGAUAUACCAAUUUAUAUUUUAGCUUCAAAUACAUGUUUUCAUUGAUAUCAACCAUACAUGUAGUAAGAGAAACACCAAUCUUUCAAAUAAAAUAUGUCAUAGGAUUCAUUAUUAGCUAAAUAAAAAGAUAGUAAUUAAAAGAAAACACAUCUAAAAAAAUACUGUGAUGCAGAAGAAUUGUCUCCUCAUAGAUUCCCUGUUAUGACAAAGGGGUUUUCUGGAAUGAAAUGAUGAAUUAAUUAUUCCUUAACCCAAGUGAUGUAGGUGUGCAGCCGCUGUUAUUAUCACUUGUGUGCAGCAGGCGAGGUUUGAUAGGGUACCUCUGUGCAGAAGUUGUCUUUUUUAUUUAUUACUAUGAAUCCUUAAGGAACUGGAAACAUAACUGACUUGGAGAAGUCUUUCAAUUCAGCUAUCUUGGCUUUGAAUUUUAAAUUCACUGUGAAUUACUGAAAAUUCUAAUUUUAGUUAAUACAUUUCUUAUCAUUGAACUGUCUCUGAAAUGUAACCUUCAAAUGUUUCCAAUUUCAAGCUUUUGUGAAUUACAGUUAACAUAGAGUUACUUGCUGUUGUAAUAAGACUGGCAGACCGUCAGCAUCAGUUGGACGGACAUUAAAGUUUUUACUGGCUAAUCCAUGGCAGCAUACCAAUACUGUUACCUCCACCCAAUUAGCUGUCUAGAAUGGGAAAUUAAAGCUAUAAAUAACCCUCCAUACCCGGUUCUCCAGUCUUUUUCCUGUCCUACUGCCUGUGGAUAUUUUUUUUUUACUUUUACUGUUUUAGUUUAUGCCCACAGACUACCUUUUGAAAAGACCUAACCAGUUCAUUCUCUCACUCCCCGGAGAUCCAGGACACACAGACCUGUUAAAGGUAACUCCAUGAGUGUACCCCUUUUAGUGACCGGGGAAUCAGUCCUACUAUCUGUCGUUCUUGAAAGAGACAAUGGUUUAUAUGGCACGUACUAAAGCCUCUAGUUUUAACAUUUUCUUUUUUCAUGUUAUCAGAAUCCCAAUUUGUUGGUGGGACACAGGCCUGCAGUAAACUUUUUACAUUUAUCUCAAUUAAUUUAAUUGUUGGCAUGUUUCAGAUUUUUCUUGUCAUAACUUGACACUUUUAUUAUGGUAAACGAUAUGGUGAGUAUUUCUAAACCUGGUUACCAUGACCUAUUUCUCCUGAUGUUUUGUUUGGGCUUUUCUUUCAUGUCGGUAGAAUUGAAUGUUAUGGACUAGCCCAAGAGUGGGCGAGUGUUGGAUUCCUGGGUUUUAUGGAGUUGCAACUUCCAUUGUACUUUGCUAUUCAAAACGACGGCAAGUCAUUAUGGUUCUGAGGCAUCUGGAGUCCUGCUGCUUGCACAGCCCUGACCUAUCCAUUUUUUGAGGGCACCGGAUAGUUGCAAUGAAGAAGUUUUCUUCUCUAUUCACUCAUCAAGGUUUGUAUACUCUGUGAGAAGAACCUUAUUGUCCAUUUAGGAAAAUGUCAUUUUAACUGUAUUUGUGUUGAUUGUUUUCUUUUCCUCCCAUCAGAUGUUUAGCAUGGAUAUUACCCUAUCGUUAUCAUGUAUUUACCAAGAAUAAGGAAAAUUAUUACUGAUUGAAAUAUUAUUUUCCUGUAUAUAUCUGUGGUAGCAUGACAUUCCACCUUUGCUACUAUUUGUUUAUUAGGAGCUUGGAACAUAGACUGGAGGACCUAUCUGGUAGUAGGGGUUCUUGUCCUAAAUAGUCAAGUGGAGAGAGCUAAUCCUAUCUAACCCUAUUGUUAUGCUGCCAUCGAUAUAUCCUUGAAAAUAAAAUUACAGUAAAUAUAGCUACAUUUUCCUUAUCAUCUGAAGUAGUAUGACAGUAAGAAGUAUCACAUUCAGCAAUAAGGCACACAUUCAAUAACAUGAUCAUUUAUUUUAAGGAUAAAAAGAACAUCCCUCUCUCUUUUCUCUGAAACUAAUUUAUUUUUUUCUUCAAUUUUCACAUGUUUGCCUUAUGCCACAAUCUGAUGAUAUUAGUAUUAUAUUUCUGUAACCCAGAAGGAUGUUCUAAAAUCUUCCAUACAUUCUCUGAUGCAUUAUUUGCUGAAGGUCUAACUAUAUAGGCCAAUCUUAAACUUGUUUAAAGAGAUCAUGUAGAUAUGGUACAUUGCAAAUAUAUUAUAAAUAUCCCAACCACAAGUUUUUAAUUUUAUAUUUAUAUCUCUGUAGUAUCUUCAGCCCUAAGGUUGAGCUGUUUUUUUUUCUCUCUUAUUACAUGCCCAUACAGACGUUUAAAAAUAUAUGACAUUUUGCAUUGGAUUGGUGCAACAAAAUUGUACUUCCAGAUUAUAGUUAGUAAAUGCAAUAGUGAUAUCAGCAUGCCUCAUUAUGGAAGAAUGAGUUAGUAUUUAUUGCUUUUAAUGUACUGAUUGAAUCAGUAACACUGUGCAAAAUGUAAGUGUGUGUGUAUGUGCACACAGCAGGCUUAGUAAAGACAUAGGGAGUUGAGAUAUAGUUAUAUGAGAGAGAAAUAGUUUUUAUUUGAUAUUCUUCCACAAAUAAGUAUGUUUUUAAAAGAUGCCUUAAACCAGAGACUAGAGAAACAUAUAGUACGGGAAGAAUUAAAAAAAAUGGUUACCUAGUAUGCCCAGUUCAAUAAAACUCCUGUCCUGCCUGUCACUAUUUGUAGUGUGGUCUUUUGGUACCUACUGUAGGUAAACAAGUUCAUUAUCCUUUACUCAGGUCUAGCAGGGAGGUAGUUGCUUCAGACUGAUACGGAAAGUGGGGCAGGAUUGAAUGUUGGCAGCACCCACUGCCUGUUUACAGCAUAUCGAGAAUGAAGCAGGAUGACAUCAUUGGUUUCCCAACCAUUAGACACUUUGAACUACUCCUCCCACAUAAAGGUAAGAUGAAAAUGCAUGCCUGUUUCUGUGUGCCUCUGCGUGUGACUGUGUGACUGUAAUUGGGAGCCUGUCUUUAUGACUGUAACUGAGUGUGACUGUGUGUUACCAGGUAUAACUGUGUGCCUGUAACUGUGAAUUACUGUGUGUCUGACUGUGUGUCUGUUUCUCUGUGUUACUGCAAUUGUGACUGUGUGCCUGUAACUGUGUGUGACGCUGUGUGUGCGGGUGUGCAUUUUGCUGUAUGUGACAGUGUAUCUGCUUCUGACAAUGUGUGUUUCACUGUGUAAAUGUGUGUGUGACUGUGAAUCUAUGUUUCUCUGACUGUGUAUGACUGUUUGCUUAUAACUAUGUGUGGUGUCUAUGACUACAUGUGACAGUAUGUGACAGAAUAUGUGUGUGACUGUGCAUCUAACAGUGUGAUUGUUACCGUCUCACUGUGUGACUACAUGUAUGUGACGGUGUAUGUCUGUAGGCAUAUGACUGUCUGUGUGUCACUACUUUGUGACUAUAUGUGACAUAGUAUGCAUUGUAUUACUGUGUGCAUCUGUGUGUAUGUAACCCUGAUCAACCAUAACAAUAAAACCACCUACGUAACCACCUACGUAAUAUUAUUUAGGUUUCCCUCCUACUGCCAAAACAGCUCUGAUGCAUUGAGGCAUGGACUCCACAAGAUAUCUGAAUAUAUCCUGUGUUGUAAGCAAGUUGCAGAGUGGGUCUGCCAUGGAUGGGAUUUGCUGUUCUGGGCUAACUGUGGUAACAUAUGUAUUUGGAGGCUCCUUUGGGAUUGUGUGUAGGGGAGACUGUUUCUGGUAUAGAAUGUGUGUGAAGGGGUCUGUUUAUAGUGCACUAUGUAUGGGCUGUAGUGUGUUCGUGUAUGCACAUAUCUAAGUAGUGUAGGUGCUGUGUGUGUUUAGGGGCUCUAAAGUGUGUAUGUGUGUUUUGGUUGAGGUUAUAGUAUAUGUAUUAGGGCUUUAAAGUGUUUAUGUUUACAAGGACACUGGUAAUUUGUCAAACAGUACUUUAACUACAGGGUACUCCUGGAACCACAACCACUACAGUAGGCUGUAGUGGUUAGGGUGCUUGAAGUGUCCCUUUAAAAACCUCCAUGUAUGUGGAGUGAUAGCAUGUAUGUUGUGUGUGUUGUUUAGAGUUGUAGAUCUAUUUGAUGUGUGUCGUAAAGUGUAUGGCUGGCUGCAUGUGUGUUGUGGCUGUGUGUGGAGUGACAGCAUGCAUGUUGCUUAGAUGUAGUGUACUUGUAAAUGUUGUAGCUAUUGUAGUGUAAAAAAGGAGCUGUGUGUGAUGUGUUUUGUGACUCUGUAUUUCUGAUUGUGAGGUAACAUGGAUAUAUAUUGUCUGUGUGCAUGUGUGUGUGGUGGCUGUGUGUUUAGGUGUAGGGUGUGGUAAGUGAUGUUUGUGGAAGUGUAAGUAACUGUGACUGAUGUUGUUGGCUGUUUAUGGUGGAUGUGACUGGUGUGUGCUUUUGUGUGUAGGUAGCUUUGUGUGAUGUGUGCUGCUGUGUGUAGGUAGCUGUGAAUAAUGAAUGUGGAUGUGUGUAGCUGUAAGUGAUGUGUGUGACUGUAUGUGUAACUGUGAGUGAUGUGUGUUACUGUGUGUUUAGCUGUGAGCAAUGAAUGUUAUGUGGCUGUGAGUGAUAUGUAUGGCUGUGUAUGGGAAGCACAGAAGAAAGUGUGUGGUAGAGUAGUGUGCAGGGUUCUGGAGGCUGUGUCUAUUUCAGCCUCCCACAAGUUGCAAUAAAUGAAAUAAAAAUUUAAGUUUUUGACACUCCUUGCUUGUCUAGGUAAGCGGCAUAUUUCCCUAUUACCUGGUGUCCAGGUAAGUCAGUGACCGGUCCCUGGUGGCCUAGUAGAGCCUAUGACACUCCUCUCCUCACUGAUAUUCCCCUGCCUUCUCUCUCCCUUUCCUCCAUGUGGCUCUCUGACAAUGUGCAGGGAGGAAGUGAAGUGUAAUCAGUACCUCCCAGCACACAGGAUACAAAGACUGCUGCUAUAUCUGGAGAUCCCAGGGCCACUGAGUAUUGUCCAGGUAUAAAGAUGGUCACUGCUGUGGUGAUCAUUGAAAAAAAAAAUGAGCGUAGAGGCUGGCCUGAAUGGAGGUGCUUCCAACCCAGCAGUACAAAGAAGGGCUUGUGGACACUCUCUCUGACCCAGGCCCUCAGACAUUGCCUGAGUGCCCGAAUGGUCAUUCCACUCCUGGUGCAAUGUGAGCACUGGUCAUCAGGAAUCAAGCAAUGUAAAGUAGAUGGAGGUGGCAGGAGUUACUCAGGGCAUACCUGUGCUUGGCAUCCUCUUCCCCCACCGCCACCCCCCUCCAAAAUUUUUUUUAAAAAACAACUGCAAAAUUUUACAAAUGUUUUCUUUUCUUUCUUUUAUUUAUUGCACAAAUUUGUAAAUUUGUUAAAAGAGUACUGGAUUCCAGAAGCCAAGGCCAGAAAUCUCUGCAAAAUGGAACAGGAUGUGACACUUGGAGCAUGUUAGUUGUAGAAGCAGGGAUUUCUUCUUGCUGCACCUCUAUGUGCAACAGUAACAGAAGUGGAUAAGGGCCAUAUUAAGACUGCCCCCAUUGCCGGUUUGGCUCCACCUCAACUUUUCUUAGCGCCGCCCCAACUUUCCUUCUGUGAGGCCAGUUCAACUGGUCCCUGAGUGUGAGAGUUGUUCCAGCCACCUGGAACCCUAACAAAGCACUGUGCGUCCACACAGCUCACACAUCCCUUUUCAGCCCCAAGACCAAGGGCAUGGCACCCCCCUUCUUAGUGGCACCCGGGGCGGACCGUCCUGCCCCUCACCCUAGCACACCGCUGGAGUUACUUCAAAAGAUCCAUUAGUAAAGCUUACAGUGCAACUUACUGUAACAUGUUUUAAGACACAGAAGUUUCAGUAUUAAACCUGUGAAAGCUUCCCUUGCUGAUACACAGUGUAUGUGUGUGUGUGUGUGUGUGUGGGGGAGGGGGGGGUAUGAUGUAAUACCUCAUGAUGUUUUUGAUGCUUCAUUAGUAGCGGGUCAGACAUUGGCCAACACCAUUUUAUUUCUGUUCACACAGCAACUGUGUUCCCAGACAAAAAGUAUUAUUUUUAAUGUUUGACUUUUUCAUUAAAUUUUACUUGCAAAUAUCUUACCAAUUCCACAAUUUACAGAGCACUAACUCACAAGUCAUCAAAUUUUGCCCGCUCCAUGUGCCCAGACAUUCUGGUGAUAAUAGGCACCCAUUCCUAUGUAACAUAUGUACCUAUUUUACAAUUUUUCCUAUAUGUUUAGAACAUCUUGAUGAGUUACCCUUUAAACAGUAGAUAGAAGUCAAACACAUUUUACUUAUCGAUACAAAAAAUCUGUAACAUUUUUAAUAUAGCAAAUAAUUAAAUAUUAAUUGAAAAAUGUUUCAAAUGUUUUUUUUUUAUUUUUAUGCUGACAGGUAUUCUGAAAGGAAGCAAACCUUUAAUUAUUUAGAAGUAGUCCACUUCAAAGUAAAUUCUAAAGUCUGUGGGGAUGCAAUUUUUGUGCAUCAUGUACCAUGCGUAGGUAUGUUAACUGGAAUAACAGUAUUUGUUACUUUUCAUACAAACCUGAUUUAUAAUUUAAGGUUACUCUUCAAUUUCUAGGACUGCGGUAUAGACUGUUUGCUGCUAUUGCGAUUUCCAGUUUCUCAACAAUACAAUUUUCCAGGUACGAUCUCAGGAAGAGGUGUCUACAAUGCAAAGCAGAAAUGACAGUUCUGUACUCCUUGUCUUGUGUGAUGAAAUAGACAAAUGAUCACCUUUUCUGCUACUGUCAGCACAAAGAUUCAGACAAGUUAUCAGACAAUUAAAAAAAUGAUGUUGCAACAUGCAAAAUGUAUGAUGGAUCUUUUUGUUUUUCUG